rnacentral:lncRNA from 1 species
AAGACUUGGUCUUUAUAUUUGAAUUAGUACAAUCUGAUCAACAAGCACACUGUUUUUUGAUAUUAAUACGUUUGAUAUUUUACCUCAUUUAAAUUAAUCAAUACAGUUGAAAUCGAAUGCAUAGAAAAGCACAUCCAGUCUAACUAAUGUAAUUAAUCUCAAUCUCAUGUCUGCAACAAUUACGCUGUUUGGAUGAACUGAUUUGUCAAAUAUUUUCGAAACUUCAUGACAAGCAGGAAGGGAGUUUAAUUUCCAGUGUCUAAAACAUUCACCGCCAACCUUUUUGUGCCUUUUGUCUUCUUUUCGGGUUUAAGGUUUAGAGUUUACUUGCAAUAGUGCCUGCACGUUGCUGCGGGUGUUAAAAUUACUGGACGUAAAAAUGCAUAAAAAACAUGAGAAUAUGGUGUAAAAUGAUAUGUAACCCAAUCUUGUACUGAGAAAGAACUCACCAGGAAGCAGUUACCUAAACUCAAUAAAAAAUGAAAUAUAAUUACUCUUAAGUAUGCUUAUUUUCAGGAAUCAGAACAACUUGAAAAUAUCCCAAACAGACUCUUAUACCUCAUGUAUCCAAUAGAUCCGAAAAAUAUAAAGAUAUCAAUAGAGCUUCAAUUUCUAAAGGAAAAACUUGAAAUUAUAUACGUAAGAGUUAUGUUCCACCUGCAGAUAAAAGUGAGAAAGACAAAGUUUUCCAAAAUUCUAUUAACUUUACAUAUUAUCAAUAUAAUUUCGCAACAAAAUACAUAGGUUUCAACACUAACAGCAUAAACAGUUCUAAAAGUGUAAUCUAAACUAAUGUUUUCAACAGAAAUGUAAAUAUUCUUUUUAAGGGAUUAAGAGCAACUCCAGUGUAGGAGCCCUCCCCUCAGGCUAUUCACUAUUUAAUCCACCUAGUGAACAGUAACUGCCCUUAAUGAAUAGUGCAUUCCCCUGGCAAUUGCCUUUUGCAUCUCCAUCCCUGCCACUGAAAUAGCCAUGGCAAUUGGCAAUAAAUAUAUUUUAUAAGUAUUUUUUUAUUUAUAAUUAAUAUUAUAUUAUUUACUUUGUAUAAAUUAAUAUUAUAUUAUUUGUUGUAAAUAGUAUAAUAAUGUAUGCCCACAUGCAUACAGUAGACAUAUCAUAUGCUUAAUAGUGUUUUUGUUUGUUUCCAUGGUGAUGCUCUAUAAAUAGAGCUUUACGAAUGUUCAAUUCUAAAGCAGAGAAAAUGAAGAGAAAAAUAUCUAAUAGUAAAUAUCAUAUAACAUUACUUCCUCUGCAACAGCUUGUGUUGGUAUAAUACUCUGCAACUGCUUCGUUCCUGGUCCCCGAAUAAAGGUUAUCUCUCUCUAUACACUUUUACCAUUUUUAUAUACACGUUAUAUCAGCACGAGUCUCUAAGUAUAACCAAUGUCUCAUUUACAUUCACUAAACAAUAAAGGAAAUAUUCAUCAUCUCUCAUUUCUCUCCGCUGAACGAAAAAAAAAAAAAUGUUUCCUCUCUAAGGUUUUUCCUGUUCAUCUUCAUCUUCUUCAUCUGCCUCAACUGCGCGCGGUAUAUUCCUUGCGACGAAACUAUUUGCUCCAUGCCUGCUCGUAGUUCUCCAACUAGCGGUUACACAUACAUCUUUGAUUACUUGUUUGGUUUGGAUAUUGAUUAUAACAUAACAUAGUAUUAUAAUUUGAUUUUUACUGCAAUCCACAAAUUGGUGUGGUACACAAUCGCCCAUCUCUGAACUGCAAAAGAUUUUCAUCUUACUGCGAUCCAAGAUGGUGCGGUAUCAUCGCCUAAUCUUUGGACUGCAGAUCUACUUUUACUGCAAAUUUCAGGUGGAGCGGUAUAAAUCGCCCUCCUUGCUCUUCAAAUUUAAAUUUACCUGUUAUUUAAUUUCAUUGCAAUUUUUCAGGUAGCGGAGCUAUAUUAUCGCCCUCCUUGCUCUUCAAUUUAAAUAAAUUUUACCUGUUAUUUAAUUUCAUUGCAAUUUUUAGGUGCCGUAUUGUAAUGGUAUAAUCGCUUGUUCCUCCUUGUUCUCCAAAAUUUAAAUUUACCUGUUAUUUAAUUUUACUGCAAAUUUCAGGUGGAGCGUUUAUAUGAUUAUAAUCGCCCUCCUUGCUCUUCAAAUUUAAAUUUACCUGUUAUUUAAUUUCAUUGCAAUUUUAGGUGGUGCGGUAUAAUCGCCCUCCUUGUUCUCCAAAUUUAAAUUUACCUGUUGUUUAAUUUCAUUGCAAUUUUAGGUGGUGCAGUAUAAUUGCCCACCCUGCUCUGCGUAUUUCAAUUUUCUUGCUACUUGAAUGGUGCGGACUAAUCGCCCAUUCCAUGUUACAUUCUUUCAAUAAGAAUGGUGCGAUACAAUCGCCCUUCUCAUUCACCCUGAAAAUCUCGAGCCAAAAGUUUCGAGUGCUUAUCAUUUUGGCCUGAAGAUCAAAAUGAAAAAUUUAUAAGAACCAGAAGUUCUAACAUCACAUUCCUCUAGGAAUACAUAUUACUGCAAGUUCUUACACAUCUCAUUUUCUUUCAGAAAAGAAAAUGACGAACUUGGCUAAGCUUGAAUAUGCUGCCCUGGACAUUACCGGGAAGAAUUACCUUACUUGGGUACUUGAUACCAAGAUCCAUCUGGAAGCAGGGAAUCUUGGAGAUACCAUCAGGGAAGAAAGCAGCUCAUCUUCUCAAAAUCGGGCGAAGGCUAUGAUCUUUAUUCGCCGCCAUCUUGAUGAGGCACUAAAGAGUGAGUACUUAACGGUUGAAGAUCCAUUAGCUCUCUGGGAGGCCUUGCGAAGCAGAUAUAAUCACCAAACAACGGUGAUUCUUCCAAAAGCUCGCUAUGAGUGGUCUCACCUGAGAAUUCAGGAUUUCAAAUCAGUGGCGGAGUACAAUUCUGCGUUGUUCAGAAUUACCUCUCAGAUGAAGCUCUGUGGGGAUACCAUUACUGAUGAAAUAUUGCUGGAAAAGACUUACAGCACAUUUCAUGCCAAUAACGUGCUCCUGCAGCAGCAGUAUAGAGCGCGAGGCUACACUGAAUACAACCAGCUGAUAUCUGUGCUCCUGGUAGCUGAACAGAACAAUGAGCUCCUGAUGAAAAACCAUAAUUCCCGACCUACUGGAUCUGCAACCAUUCCCAGAAGUAAAUGACUCCUCGAAGUGCCACAUCCUCUGGUGGAAUUAUCAAGGGAAGGAACCAAUAAACGGUCGAUGGAAUAAGAAGGCAAGACCAUGGUGUCAGUUUCACAACCAGGUUCAGAGGCAUAAUUCCUGGCCCGAGUUCAAAAAAUGUGAAUCGUCAAAAGGCAAAGCUACCAAUGCCCAGGAACUCUGAAGGAGCCUGCCAUAGGUGUGGUGGCAAUGGGCAUUGGGUGCGAACUUGUCGUACCCCAAACACAUCUGUGGAGUUGUAUCAAGCCUCCUCAAGAAAGAAGGUUCAAGCAAUCCUCGACCAGGCUAACCAAUGGAUAACUCACCUGAUCAGUUUUAUUUAUCAGGAAUAUUCGGUAACCCACCUAGAUGUUUCAGACUUCAUUACGGAAAGGGAAUGAAGAUAUAUUUUUCUGUUAUCGUUUGUUUGUUAACUGAACUUCCAAUUUUUUCACUUCAGAAAGGCAUGGAUAAAAACCCAUUGGUUAUUCUCAGUUAUAAAACAUAAGAAAUGGCGGAGAUAUUGUCUGCAGACAGUGCAACACACAUACAAUACUUCGGUGAUCGAAGUAUUUCCUCAAGCUUAUGCUUACAAAAUAAGGGGUAAACAAUAUCAGGACCUCAAUGUGAUUGAAGGCUCAGGAAAAAGCCCAGAUUAUGUUACCAAUGGAAAAUAUUAUCCAUACAAAAUGCCAUUGUAUGAUCUACUCGAAUUUGUUGAGUUUUCAAAGACAUACGUCUAAAUGGAUACCAAAAAAUUGAAAACGAAAUGUGCGUAAAAUGUGGUUGCGUGUUUUUGCAUUAUGAGUUAUAUAUGGAUAGUGGGACAGUGGAAUCUAUAUAUACAUCAAGUAACUGAAAUCAGGUUUACACUUUGGCAUGAACCAGAAGUUUCAUCCAAAGGAUCCACAUGUGCGGUGGAUCAUUACCAACGUCAUUCCAACUGGACAUCCAUUAUUGAGCAGAGACAUUGCUAUCUCAAAUGAAACCCUGCAAGGUGUGUUCUCAAGGAAGUUGGUAUUAAGACCAUCACACAUAAAGGUUGAUGCUGAAUCCCAUCAUUUUCUAAAAGAAUUCAAGGGGAAUCUGUGGACCUAUUCAACCAUUCUUGAUGGACCAUUUCAUUAUUUUUGGGUUUUGGUUGAUGCAUCCACUAGAUGGUCACAUGUUUGUCUCUUGUCUACUCGGAAUGUAGCUUUUUGCGACUCUCUUGCUCAGAUAAUAAGUUACGAGCACAAUCCAGAUUAUCCAUAAAUCAAUCGACUUGAUAACGCUGGUGAAUUUACGUCUCAAACUUUUGAUGAUUACUGCAUGAAUUGGCAUUGAAUGUCAACCCCUGUUCCUCAUGUCAUACUUAAAAUAGCAGAAGCAUUUGAUCAAGCGGCUUCAGUUAAUAGCCCGCACUCUGCAAAACCAAAUUGCCAGUUCUGCAGGGGACAUGACAUUCACAUGCUGCAUCAUUGGUUCGAUUGAGACCUAUAGCCCAACCACCAAUACUAUAAAUAAACGUGUUGGACAUCAGCCAAACAUUUCACUUUUACGAUUUUUGGUUGUGCUGUUUAUGUGCUAUUGCACCACGCACUAAAUGCACUCAGCUAAUGGGAUCUAUGUGUUUUGAUUACCAUCUAUAUUAGAUAUUUGGAACCCUUGACAGGGAUAUGUUUACAGCUCGUUUUGCUGAAUUGUCAUUUUAUGAGACAGUCUUCCAUCGUUAGGGGGAGAAAAAGAAACCGUUCCAAAAGAACGGAAAGAGAACUGACAUGGGUUUUCCACCUUGUUCAUUUUGAAUUCCUCGAACCCUUCAAUGUGAAAAAGAAGUGAAAAAUGAUCGUUCAUCUUCAAAGCAUUGCCAAUCAAUGCCAGUGCAUUUAAUGACGCUAUGAAGUGACAAAAUCGCAUAUACCAGCUGCAAAUGCACCUGCCAGAAUGAUGUCCCUCAAAAUAAAGUGGCAGCGAAUGAUCAUUUGGUGCACGCCUGAAGCGUGAAGAACCCAGGUUCAAAAGAGAUUCAGCCCCUCGGAAGAGAAAGCGAGGGCACAAUUGAAUCCAAAUGAAAUCAUUCAGGAAAGAGAGUCAAUGAAAAUCCACAAUUCAUGCCUCUGGACUUCAGAAAAGAAAAUGGUCUGAAGGCAGAAGUACAUGAAAGCAAAGAAAUCUCUCCAUAAAUUAUGCAUGUAUAAUGAAUUGUGUGGGAUCAGAAAAAUCAUUGACGAUAUGUUUGCAUUCGCAAGUAGCCACUGAAAUCAUAUUAAGUGAUGAUAUUGAGCUUGUUGAUGAAUGCAACAGAGACAAGAUUGGCCUAGUGAAGAUGCAAUCCAGCAAAUUAAAAUCCUUGAAAGCGAAGUGUUUUUGGACAGUAGUAAACCCCAACCCACUAAUUUAAACCCCGAACAAACAUGGAUACAAAGCACGCUACUCGUGCACAAGGCUUUCACAAAGACCUGGAAUUGAUUAUAGGAGACAUACUCUCCUGUAAUGGACACAAUUACGUUCCGUUACUUAAAUAAGUUUGGUGAUUUCAGAAAAACUUGACAUGCAACUUAUGGAUGUCAUCACCCGUAUCUAUAUGGAGAUUUAUACUGAACAUAUGUAUGAAAGUCAGGGGACUUAAGUUGCCUGAAGCAACAACAAACCACGGGUUCUCUCAUCAAAUAAGGCGAUCACUAUAUGGGCUGAAACAAUCUGGGCGAUGUGGCAUAUAAAUCGUCUAUAGUGAGUAUUUAUAUUAGCAUAAAGAUGAUAUCAAACUUCACGGACCCUGAAUUAAUAAAUCACAAACUCUGGAUUGCCUUGGCGAAUUAACUAGGUUGAUGAUAUGAACUUAGUUUUUGGUCCACAAUCAGCUUACAUUGAAAUAGCGAUUUGGCAUUGGACAAAGGCUUAUCCACUGUAGCACCCCAAUGGUUGUUCGUUUUUUUAAGGUACAUUCCGUUAACAUGAAAAAAUCUGGUGCAUUGAGCAUCAGCUUUUUCCACUUAGCUCCAAUGGUGUGUUCUUUAGAGUUAAGAAGAUCCAUCUUCUAAAUCAGACAAGCUUGUCAGAAUAAAUAUAUUGAGCGUAAUAAGGUGCUACAAAUUUAGCACAAUGUACAGACCAAAUAUAGCAUGUUUUCAGUUUAACUUCGUUAAAUGGUACAACCUCCAACAACUUCGUCAUUGAAGGAGCAAAAGUUCUACGAUUACUGCAGCGUGUCGACUAUGGGUAUUUUCUGCUCAGACAUAGCCCACAAGUGCACAAAAGCUUGAAGGCUAAAGUAUUGUUUUCUUCUUCCUAUAAUUGCAAAAAUGCUAAUUUCAAUGGAGCGCAAUCAACGAAGCAAACGCUAGUUGCCAUCAAUCAUUCGGAAAAUUUCUACAUAAGCAUCGUGAUGUUCUUGGUUAAGAUCAAUGAUCCAUCACAUCCGAAUUCAUUGUUGGUCUACCCAUCAAAACAGCCAUCCCAACUGUAUCCAGAGAUAAUGCAGAUGUGUCCCACAAUGAAGGAAGAAUUUCAAAGUGUAAGACUAACACAUAUCUCAACAAGAUUUUCAGACACAUGAGCUUCAGAAGGCAAAGUUAUUAUUUAGCAAGGAUCACCUAAUGAAACAAGCACUAUGGGCACAACUACCAAAGUGCAUAUCUUCAGGACACUGCUGCAGGAAUCGGAGUUACGUCGGCUAAUUUAAAGAAUGCAAGAACAGGGGGAGAUUCCCGAUUCAGGGGAGCAUGGCAACGCUCCCGUUGUGUACGCUUCGCUUGCCUGUUCACCUCGGGCUUACCAAACAACACGGAGCAUGUCACGCGCAACAAGUAUGUUCAAUUCACUGCAACCCCCUGCAAAAGGCUCCCCAAUGAGCUGCUCAUAAUACUUAAUUGGUUUGUGGUGAUGUCAUAAAUAGAGCUUUAAAUGUUCAACUAACAGAAAAGAAAGAGAAAAAUAAUUGUAAAGAAGUUGCUGGAGCAACUCGUUUGGCGUACAAAAUAUUAUAAUUGACCAUAACAUUAUUUUAUAAUAUUAUAAGUACGAUCACCACAACUAUGAUUUAUUUAACACGAUCGUCGAGAAAGUAUAACGAAAGCCUAAAGGCCGCAAAGCAGAACCGAGGGAGGAAUGGAAAGCGAUGUCUAUUUGUGACAUCCACGGCCAGCUAGGUUUUUGUUGGUCAAUUCUAGUUAUGAAACAUAAUGGAAGGGAUCUCAAAAUGCAGAGGAGAUGACAUCUUGACAUAAAAUCGUGUUAAAAGUGUUUGUGAUAUCGAUGUCCCUUGUGGAGGAGAAUAUUGGUAUAAGUGGGUAAAAUGAGUCAAUUGAAGCAAAUCAUUAUUAUAAUUGACCAUAUAUUUUUAGUACGAUGAUGAUUUUUAAACAGAUAGAAGAGUAUAAAAAGAAAAAGAAGCAGAACCUUUAUGGAAAGCGAUGUGAUUUGUGACAUACCUGCAGCUAGGUCUGUGUGGUCAAUUCUAGUUAUGAACAUUGGUAAACAAAAUAUGACAUACUAAUGAUAAAAUCGUGUUAAAAGUGUUAUGAUAUCGAUGUAAACUUGUGGUGGAGAAUCAUGUAUAAGUGGGUAAAAUGAUCGUCAAUUUCAAGCAAAUCAUUAUUAAAUGAGUAGAAUAGAAGGUGAAAAAGAUUGAAAAGUUGUAUUCAAAAUGGAUAAAAAAAAAUGGGAGUAAAGUGGAAGAAGAUAUGCAAUGUAGUACUAUGGUGAUUUUUGUUGUAAUAAUGGGGAUAAAGAAUGUUGAAAGAUGGAUCAGAUAGAACUUAAUUGGUGUAGAUAAACAAUCAUCAUUUCCAUCUUUCCUCUUCAGAGGAAUUGACUGUUACAAAUUUAUACACAAAGACUUUCGUCAUUCGUUGUGCUAUGAAUGCAUGUCAAAUUACUUGGUUAAUCACAAAAGGGUUUAAGAUGGACAUUCAAAAGUAUAAAUGUAGAUAUUUUAAGUAACCAUAUAUUGUCUCCACAGGAUGUUCACCAAUGCUUUGGAUGUCCAGGUUAACUCAUUAGUGGGGGAAAAGGUAAGUGGACAUGCGUUCAAAGCAGAUGAAAUGAAGAUAGUGCGUGCAUACAUUGGUAAUAGGCAAUUUCCCUGAAGAGAAACAUUAGUGAAGGUAGAACUUAAACAUAAAACAUUAAUGAAAAAAAGUAGAAAUUUUUGAGUAUUUUGAGAUACCGUAAGUAGUUAUACAGAUGUGUCCACAGGAGAAACAGAGCAGAUGAUUGGCUGUCAAAACCUAAUUUUCAGUAAUAAUGAGAUUUAUAUUAAUAUGUUUUUUUAGUAUAGACGAUGUUUUCGUGCAUAUGUUUUUAUGAAGUAUUAGAUAGAUGGCAAAUCAUUUGUUAAGCUAUUUUUUUCUUUUUUGUUUUAAUUAGUUACCUUGAGGACAAAGCACCUUGAAAGCGAAGAACAAACAGGGCAAAAUGCAGAAUAACCAAGAUUUUUGAAAUCCUGUAUUAAAAGAAAAAAGAACAUUAACCAUGAUCAAACAUAAUUCGAUUCAAGUAGACACUAAACUGACAUAAACACUUUAAAUGCAACAGAUGCAUAAUUGAUUUAAAAACAUUUAGUAAAUACUCAGUUAUCUUGAUCAGUCAACCAUCACAAACCAUGAAAUUAACAUCAAAUGAUCAAAUUAGUGAAUCUCAACAAAACAGUAUACCUCACUAACCAAGCUUAAUAAUUUUCACACCAUCUCUUUAGUUUCUCAAUUACUUUGACACCACAGGCUCAUUCAUGACCAAUGAACUCACAUUUUAGACAAAGAUAGAUGACACCUCAUUUGGUUUAAUCCUUAACAUCUAAGCAAGCUCAAAUACAAAUGUUUUGCUGAAAUUAAAUGAAUCAUAACUUUUUCUCUCAUCAUUUUUCUCCAAAUUGUGACCCAAGCAAUACAAUGAAAAAACCCAAAGAAAUGACUGUAAACAUAUAAAUCACUCCAUCAGUCAAAAUUUACAACGAUGUAUAAAGGAAGCUGAAUUAAUCGUAGAAGUUUAAAUCAGCUACCUUUAUAUACCCAUUUAUCAAUUGAAGCAACAAAAGUUUUAAAAGUGAAAUCAUAAUUUAAGCAUUCUAUAUCACCGUGCACCAUUUUUUUAUCGGUUUCUUUUAAAUUAAAUCUAAAUGAAUCACAAUGAAAAAAAAUACCAAACAACAUUUAUUAUCCCUCUCUCCAAUUUAAUCCAUGAGGUGCAACGCCAAAUCAAAUAAGCAAAGAAAGUGAAUACACCAAAGUGGUCACAGAUAUUUAAUCAACAAAGCAAAGUUAGUAAUAGUGUUAAUUUAUAAAUGUCAUGUACUCACAUAUAAAUAACGAUCCUGGUAUUUGCAAAUUGUGGAUAAGUUGAUGUGGAAGCAGAAUUUGUAGUAUUAGUUUUGAAAGCUGCAAGUCAACAACAAUAACUCAGGAUAAUACUGUUGUUUUUGCUUUAAUCCGUAUGAAUAAGACAGAACGGAUCCAUAGGCUUAACAAAUUAAACACACAUCUAAGACUCGAAAAGCUUAUCAAAUCAAACACAAAGAACGGAUCCAUAUGCUUAACAAAUCAACAAAACAAAAAUAAAUAAAAAAUAAAAAAUUCAAAGCAUAACCAUCACAGCAAGUCAAAUAAAAAGAAGAAGCUAUGGAUUUAAAUAAAACUGCCAACACAAAAAUCACCAAGAAAAUAUGCAUUACUAAUUAACAACCCAAACACACAAAAAAGGUCCCAAAUCACCAAAACAAAGCCAAAAAUAAAAAUAAAAAAUUCAACUGCAAAGAAAACAAAGGAAAAAAAACAAAUAAUACAUUUAUAUACCUUUAGUACAGAGAGUUCCAAGAAUCAGAAUAAAAAAUCCAAAAAUCUGAAAGGGGCUAUUUGCUGAAUCUGGAAAACAAAAUGCAUCAGACAUGUUCAACAACGAUCCAACCAAAAACAAUAUAAAGUAAUAAACAUGCAGAACUCACCUGGAAACGCCAGAUUAAAUCGGUCACAACCAAAUUCCAAGCGAAGUCGACACGUUGGUGUUCUCGAGCCUUCCAUGCUUUUUGAUCCCUGUCUCACAAACGCUUUUCUUCCUUUGAAUCCUCACGUUGGUACCAACGUUAUUAUACAGCUAUUUUAAUGACAUUGAAUAAAAAAUGUAAACGUUUAGAUAUUGGUUAGUAAAAUAAACAGUCUGCUUAUAAAUUUUGCAAAACAUCUUGAAACACUGUUUGCAGUAUAAUUGUUUACAUUAUUGUCUCCAUCUGGAAUCAAAAUUUUCAGACCUUUUUUUUAUGUAACUCUGGAUAAUGCUACAUAUAAUUGACCAUGGAUGAAAACAGGUUCAGGAAGAUAUAAACCAACUUGUUUCAAAGAUUGGCCUUGACUUUUGUUGAUAGUCAUUGUAUAACAUGGUCUAACCGGAAAUUGACGUCUUUUAAAAAUGAAAGGCCACUUAUUUUCUGUUGCUGUCAGAGUGAUUCUCAGAAUGAAUACUUUGUGACCAAUAUUGUUUCCAGCAAGUAUUUUAGCUUCAAUAAUUUGGUUGAAUAAUUGCGUAACCACUAAUCUUGUUCCAUUGCACAAACCCUAAGACUGAUUUAAAUUUCGUAACAACAUAAUUGGCAUUCCUAUUUUCAAAAUUAGCUUACGUGUAGGUAAACCAUUGAAAUCAAGUUUAUUAAAAAAUUCAACAGGAUAUAAUGUUUCUAAAUUUUCAUUAUUUCCAUUUGAAGAACACAAAGAAUCAUAGCUUAGAAACACGUUUUCUUCUUUAGGUAACAGAUCAGUUAUAUAAUUGUUUAUAUCUGUAACAGUUGUGUUUUGAGGUGUUAUAAUAACACGUUCUCUCAAGUAAGCAAAAUCUUGAUAAGAAUGUUCAAAAUUGGGUUAAGUUGCAAGAAAAAUUGAUAAAAUUGGGUUGUCAGAAGAAUUAACUAUUAAAUCUUUAGGUAUUUCAAUUAGACAUGUAUCUUUAUCAUUUGAAUUAUUUUCACCAAUUUUUCCAUCACCUAUUUGUAAAAUCCAAUUUGCAAAAUCAUUGAUUCUUCUCUUUUCAUCAAUGCUUAACCCAUUUUUUGAUAAUCUCAUGUUUUCUUUUAAAUAAAAUAUUUUAAAAUGUGACCACAAAUAAGAACUAUUUAAAGAAGCAUUUAUUAUGUCCUCUUUGCUUCCUCCAAGUAUAACAAGUAAUAUUUGUCAAAAAUCACCACCUAAGAAAAGAGGUUUACCACCAAAUAAAAUAUUACCUUGUGAAUAAUUUAAAUGGGACAUAAUGUCAUAAAGUGAUUUAUCUAAUGCUUCAAAAAAAUGUUUGUGAUUCAUUGGUGCUUCAUCCCAUAUAAUCAAAUCUGUUUUUUCAAUUAAUGUGGCAAGAUGAGUUUGCUUUUUUAUUGCACAAAUUGAAGAAUCAGUAAUAACCAAGGGAAUUUUAAAUCUGGAAUGUGCUGUUCUACCAGCUGGUAAUAACAAUGAGGCUAUCCCUAAUGAUGCCACAGCUAAAACAAUUUUUUUCUCAGAUCUAAGCUUACUUAUGAUAACAUCCCAUAAGAAAGUUUUUCUAGUGCCUCCAUGACCAUAAACAAAAAACAAACCACAUUUUUUUUCUUUCCAUAGCAUCUAUAACACAAUCAUAUAUAAGUUUUUGACCUUGAUUAAGUUGUAAUUUUAAAUUUGCGUGUUUUUUUGACAACUCUUAAGAAUCAUAGUUUAAUUCUUCUCUUAGAAGCUUAUUUUUAAUUUUUAACAUUUUUCUUGCAUCAGGCAUUGGUAAAUGAUACUUAGCUAAAGAACUCAAUGCAUUGUUAAAAAGCAAUUCCAAUUCAAACAAUACAGAAUUUUUUAAUUCAUCUUGUGGUAUGAUCAUAUCAGGAAUUGCAAAAGUUUUUUGCAAGCUGUACAAAAUGUCAUCAUACAUGUUUUGCCAAUGAGUAUCAAAAAGAGUUUGAGGAUCUACCACAUCACAAUAUAAAAUGAUUGUAACAAAUAAUUGUCUCAACUGAGGAGAUAACGCUACAUUUACAGCACUUGAUAAAGCCUCAAUCCAUUCUUUAUCAUCUCCUAACAAUCCCAAUGAUUGACAUGCAUCAUGAUAUGAAGGAUGUACAAUACCAUUAACAGUUUUGAGAUCAUUAAAGUUUAAUGUACCUUUUUUCAAGUUCAAAAGCAUUCGUAAAUAAUACAAUUCACCAAAUGUAGGAUGCACAUAUGCUAUUCUACCUAUUGAACCUUUUUGUUUUCUAGGUUUCCACAUUUUUUUUCCGUGUGUCAUAUAAGAAUUUUGAAGGGAAUUCUGCAUAAGUGAGUGACCGCACUUCACUAUAUAUUUUGUUAGUUUCAAACCAACUUGUUAACAUUGUAUGGUUAGAAGCGUUUUGUUUGAUAAUUGAAUGGAGUGAUUGAUCACCACUGAAAAUAAUGUUUUGUUCUAAUGGUAAAUGCACUGGUAAUCGCUCUAUAGAAGGUUCCCUAUGGUGUAUAGAAUAUUGAAACAAUCUCCAAACAGCUUCGUAAGACAAUAUGUAUCUACAGUUUAGAUAUGUUAAUAUUUCAUCAUUCGGAUCAUGUUGGAGAGCCAAUCGUGCUCUAUCUGAACCUUUGUUUACAUAUUUGAAUAAAUAUUUUAUAAGCAUGGAUUGACAACAGGAUUCAACAUUUAUAUAAGCAUUAUAUCUCAAAAGUAGUUCAGGAUUAUAAGGAACAACAAAACUGUUAUCAAUUUUUAUUCCAUUUUUUAUAACAAACUUUGUAUCAUCAUCCCGACGCCUAUAAAUUGGAAAACCAUUUUGUUCAAAAAUUGUUUCAUUUUUAUAAGGCUUAGGAAAGUUUUUGGAGCACUUAUUUUCCCGCAUGCAAGGAUAAUUUUUAUAUACAUGCCCACAUGGACCAUGAAUCAUAAAUUGAUUAACAAUCUCAUAAAGUCGAGGGUUAACAAAUUUGUCUGGCAAUUCUGCACAAAUAAUUGAAUCUAUAUCUGAUGGCACAUAGCAUUUGAAAUUUGAUUUCAACCAUAUUAACAUAUGAGAAUGAGGCAAACCUCUUUUUUGAAAUUCAAUUGUACAAACAUCUGUUUGAAAAAUCAAUUGAGACAAACAAAACCCCAAAAACAAAAAGUUAGCUUCUUGAAGAGAAAAAAAAAAACAAAUCGAGAUAAGCAAAGUAAUAAGUUUUUAGAACUCAGUUGCUUCAACUUGACCAAAAGGCUCUCCAGAUUUGAUGAAAUCAAACAUAUCAUCAAGUUUUAUUUUAAAUAUUCUAGAAAUUAUAUCAGGUCUGUCCUCAGGUUUGUAGCCUGGCUUUUUUUUUCAAAUUCUCUUAUAAUUUCUGGUCAUUUCACAUUACAGGUAAAUGUUAUAAACAAAUCAGGAUGUUCAUAUUCUCUACAAAUAGCCAUAACAUCUUGAUAAUUAUUAAUCAUAUAUCUAGGACUUCCUGUGUAUGAUGCUGGUAAAACAAUUUUUUGUCCCAAACUGUUUGCAUCGUUGUCACCUCUUGACACAGCAUCAUAAAUUCCUUUGUAAACCUCACUUCUUAAAUUUUUUGAUUUUGCCUUAUGUAAUCCAACUUAUCUUCUUCAAGUGUUGCAUAAGAAUCUACUAAAUAUUGUUGAAAAAGUCUACCUUCUUUCAACAAUGUAGUUAAGUAUGCAUCUCUUUCUUGAAUCUGAUAAGCUAUAUAAGUUCUCAUAGGUAUUCUUUGUCUUUUUGUUUUUGGACCGUUAUAAUUUUCAUUCCAUUUUAAAUCCGGCCUGUAACUAUCUUCACCAUAUGGAAAAAGAAUAGGGUGCUGAAGAGCCAUAAAUUUUGAAUUCAAUUUUGUAACACGAUUAGCUUCAAAUUUAUCUCUUACUGUUCGAAAAAGUUUAACCAAGUCAUUGCAUGAAUCAAACAUUUUAAUUAAACCUUCUACAAUUUUUGAAUCAAGUCUUUCAUUUGUUCCAUCAUUGUCAAAAGCUCUAAGACGAUUUUGUACUUCAUUAUAUGUAUCAUAAACAUAUAAUUGAGCAAAUUUUGAAGACUGAUUAUCAGGAGGUAAAAGAGAUCCCAUCAAAUGACAAACUUGACCACUAAUUUUGAAAAUGUAAGAGCUUGUUCCAUUAUUAAUUGAGUGAUCAACUUUGGCUCCCAUUGAAGUAAAUGAAAACAUAGAAUUGUAAGCUCUAAUAUUUUCUCGAAAUGAUAAACAUUUUUGUCCUCCAUUUGGAUCAAGCAAGGAAUCUAAAUAGGGUGGUGUUGGAUUUGGAGUUGGAAUCUUAAUUUUUCCUUGUUGACAACAAAGAGUAAAAAUGGGUUCAUUUUUUUUUGAGCUUUUUUUAGAGACUCAUUUAACCAAAAAUAAGCACCGCAAUACACACACUUAUAACUCUUAUCACCCAGAUCUAUAUAAUCCCUGACAACACCUACAAAAAAAUAUGUCCAAACCCGAAAAUAAUAGGACGUUAGCGUUAUACGCCAUUAACUAAACACUAAAAGUAAAAAGAAAUUUAAAAAAUUAUUAUAAGAAAUUAGGAACAUACCCCUUCUGUUGUUUUGAAAAAAGGCUUGCCCUUUACUCAUAAGAUUGUGAUUACGAUCACAAACUUUUUUCAACUACACUUCCAACAUCGUUGGAGACUAAGAAUUUUUUUUCCCUUUGUGUCACAACUGUCAAAGUUUUUUUCAAGCGUAGUCAUAUCCAAUAUGUUAUCAUUAUCAGAAUGUUCAACAACAGAAUCAUCAGCAAAAGAUCUGCUUGUACUGCAUUGAUAUUCACCCCGUGAAUAUUGACAAACUAACGCAUCAGUUUGAAAAAGAGAGGUGUUUUCAGAAUUUUGCAUAUAAGUGGUUGUAUAUAAUUCAUUAUCAAAAUGCUCAACAACAAAAUCAUCAGCAAGAGAUCUGCUUGUACUACACUGAUAUUCACCUCGUGAAUAUUGACAAACCAACGCAUCAGUUUCACAAAAAGAUGUGUUUUCAGAAUUUUGCAUAUAAGUGGUUCUACACAAUUUUUUUGGUUGCUGGUUAUGCUCAAGGAAAGGAUUAUAUCCAUUAUUGCCAAUGUUUUCUUUUUGUUGUAGACUAUCGUUUAUUCCAAUAUUUAAAGAUCUUUUAGACAUGAUGCAAACAAAUUUUUACAGCCAAUUCAAAAACAAACUGCUGCAAAGCACAAUUCGAACAAAAGAAAAAAUUAAUAAAGAUAUAACACAUAUACUAAAACUAGGGCUGGGCACGGGCCGGGCCGAGCCGGGCCGAACCUAAGUUUGUAGGAAUCUGACAUUACCCGAAACGGGCCGGGACGGGGCGGGGAUUGGAUUUUCUUGUAUAGGAACCGGACAUUACCCGGCCCAGUUAAAACGGGCCGGUUCGGGCCGGGUCCACGGGUACCCUCUUUUUUUUUUUUUAACUGCACUGCACAGUUUGAAAACUGCACAGAUUGCAAUUUGCAACUGCACAAUCACAGUGACACUGCAUUAGAAAGAAAUAACAGUACGAUUCAUGUGCAAGGCAUGAAGAGAUAACAGCAUGCCAAUAUAAAAUUUCCUCAAUUUUUUUUUAUCAGCCAGGUUUCUCUCCAAAGCAACAUCAGGUCCAUGCUCUGAUACAUGAAGCAUUGCUACCGUUGAACCAUAUCCAGAUUCUAAAUUCUUCAAAAGGCGAUGAGUAAUUUCCUCAGCUGAGAUAACGAGUGGUGCACUAACUAAUGAUUCAUAAAAUAUAGCAGAAGCUGUUUUUCCCAAUUGUUGGCUGACAUUAACAACACAUCUAAGCAUUUUAACGAGCACCUCUAAUUGAAGAAUUAAAACCCGCCUCCAUGGUAACAAGAUGGAUGAGAUCAUCAGAAGUACCUAUCAAAUAUGAAUGUGAGAAUUCCAAAAUAAAAGGGACAAGCAUUAAAAAUAAGAAAUAAUUGGUCCUAAAACAAAAAAAUGGAAAGGUUCAGCUAAAGCAACAAUACCUUAGAUACCAUUAAUAAGCCGCUCAAUAUUCUCCGAACAACGAAAAAGAGAUACUGAGUUCUUUCUGAUCAAUCCAAAACUACCCCUGUAGGAAUCCAAAAGCAACAUAAAUGAAUCAUACAUAAAUCAUUUAGAAAUGAAUCAUACAGAAAUCAUACAUAAAUCAUUUAGAAAUGAAUCAUACAGAAAUCAUACAGAAUUCAUUUUAAAAACAGAAAUCAUACAGAAAUCAUAAAGUCCACGGGUCACUUUACCACCAUCUGCAGCCACACAUACAGAAAUCAUAAAGUUCAGAGCUUUGCUGAAUCUAAACUUAAUUGAAUAAAAACCCAGCAAUAUACAACAUAUAAAUACAUAUAUAGAAUUUUAGAUGUUAAAUUUGGCAGUACCUGAAAUGAAAGUUGGCGAAGAAGAAGAAGCAGGAAGACCCAGAAAACGGAAGAGGAAAACAAUGGAAAAGCAGAAGCAGAAGCUUUGAUUAAACACCAUACUUUCUGGGUCUUCUCUGUCAUCACUACCAACCUUUUCGCCCUCUACACUCUUCUUCCAGCUACAACGACUUCAAAUCUAUCCCCGGAAACGCCGUGUUCACCCAAACCCGCCUCGAUUCUUCGUCGUGGGAGCCAAAGCGUUUCAAAUCCUCAUCCGGGUCUUCUCCCUCCGAAGUUCGAACUCCUCUUCAACCGUCACGCCGCCUCCUCUAUUCCACAACCACAACAACCAAUCUCCCUCCCCGCCACCGCCGAGUCAUCAUCAACCUGCCCAGCCCUCAUUGUCGACUCGCAGGAAAAUGGAGUCUGACUCGUCCACGGCCUCAUGGCCUGAGCGGAAGCCGUCCAGCAGAACAUCUUCAACCUCGCCAAAGCUCUGGUGAUCCAGAUCGGCUACCUGGCAGGUUCACAAGCAGGCGUCGGUGCUCAGGUAGGAGAGGAGAGAGAUGGAGUUCGAGAAGACGAUGGAGAUUGGAGUGAGUGACUGAAUCUGGAAGUGGAAACCUAGACACACGGGACAUCGACUAGGGUAGGAAUUAACGAUUAAGAUUAGAUGAUAGGGUAUCAUUUAAUCUGGACCGUUCAUUAUUAUUAUAAACGGGUCGGUUCGGGGCCCUGUUUUUCCAAGGAUUAGGACCCGCCCCGCCCCGUAUUUGACAACGCCCCGGCCCGGCCCGGCCCGUUUUUUUUCUACAAUAUUUGGAACCGGCCCGUACCCGCCCCGAACCUACAUUACCCGCCCCGACCCGCGGUUCCUCUACCCGUUUGCCCACCCCUAACUAAAACAACAUAGGAAUCUAAACAAAACCUCAAAACCAAAGUUUGAUUUAAACAAACAUAAACACAAUACAAUGGUUGACUUUGGUGAGAAAAAAGUAUAUAAAACUAUAUAAUGAAACUUUGAAUCAAAGUACAUUAGAAGUUUAAAUUACUUACUUGUAGCACAGAAUGUCCUCAAUGCCAAAAACAACACUUCAAGAGGUUAUAAAAGAGAAUUCCCUCAAGUUCUGUAAAAAGAAAAAAGAAAAAAACUACAUACCAUAAGUUCACAAAAUUUUAUCAGGCCUGAUAAAGAUAAUUUUAAAGCUUAAAAAUUUUACACCAAUGAUAAAUUUGAAAAGCAUAAUAACCAUAAAACCUUAAUUUUGGACACAUGCAUUAGUCAGCCUAGAAAAAAAAGGACCAAAAAAGUACAAUAAUUUAAAAACAGCAACCAACAUUUCACAGUAAGAAAAAAAGUGACACUAAAACAAAAUAAAAAACUAUUAAAUUCCAGACUAUAAACUUUAUAACCAAAGAAAUUAAAUGGAUUUAGUAUUAAAAUUGAUAGCACAAUUAAAUUUCAUUAUACCACCACAGUAACCGUCACAUAGCCAAUCAUAAUUAAAAGAACGACAAUUGUCAAAUAAAAAUUUUAAGCUAUAUAAAAUCAAAAAAUAAGAAAGCACGGAAGCAGGGAGCAAUACUCGCCAAAUUGAUUUUUUUUGUUUAAAAUGUAGACCCCAAACAAAGCCCCAAGUAAAAGACCCAGCCAUUUUCUCUGCCUUCUCUCAACUACCCUUCUUCUUCCAUUUCUCUGAGUUUUUUCAUUCUGCCUUCCCCUAAACCCCAAGUAAUUAACGAUAAUUUAUAACACUACAAAAUUAUUCCCAAUUCUCAACCUCACAUAAAAUUCAAAGCUCGAAAAUAAAAGAGUCUGAAAGAAUGAAUCUGAGAAGGGUAAAAUGUGGAAAAAUACCUAGAUAUUUUGUUGGAGGAGGAAAGGAGCCCAAGCAGCUGAAUGACUGUGCUCACGGUGAUUCUCAAACUCCGCACAGUUUGUCUCUUGCAAUUUUUUUCAAGAUCUUGCUGCUUUCUUUGAAAGUUUGGAAAGCUUUUUAUGUUCGUAUACUAUUAAAAAGAAAACACAUGUUAGUAAAAAGAAAAUAUCAUUGACAACUGCAUAGAUUAUUUCAAUUGUGCCUACUAUAAUCAAUUAGAGAGAGAACGAACAUGAAGUAAUCCAUACAUUUUCAAUGUGAAAUAUAUAUAUUUACAAAGCUCUAUUACUGAGAAAGACCAACACCCUCUUUUUUUUUGCACCAUGAUCAGUUUUAAUGUUCACAUUUAUAAAUAUCACAGCUUUUAGUUCCAAUUUUUCUCUCUCUGCCUAUUUCAAUUUAAAUUCUUUUUUCACUUGGUUCAAAUGAUAGAAACUUACUAAAACACACAAAGUUUAAUUUAACUUUAAACAAUGUUAUCCAAUGAAUUACAUUAACCUCAAUCAAUUUACAGCCUUCUCAGUGCAUGAGGAAUGAAAAGCGGAAAGGGACCUUCUUGAAUUAACAAAAAUAAGUACCAUUUUACAUUAGUUGAAGGUAAUAUAAAUUUGUUAACAAAAAAUACAAACAUAAAAGUACAAAAAAAAAGACAAAAGACAGCCAUUAGUUGAGGAGAAACCAUUGUCAUCUUCAAUCAACGACAAACAGUUGCUAUCUCCUCGAAUUAACGAAGAUAACCAUCAUUUUUCAUUAGUUGAAGGUAAUAUAAAAAGAGAUUAUACAUGUGCAGUUUUAAUAUGCACAAAUCCUAUGCAAUCAACCAAAUUGCUCGUGUCUUCUCAGGCAGGAAAAUACAAUGGAACGAUCAGGAGGUUUCCAUGGCUAUCAAAGACCAUGACUACCCCAAACACAACCUCUGCUUCUGGUAAAACUAUUCUUCCUUAAUUUUCUUAAUAAUUAACUUACCUAUGUAUAAUUUCACAUUUCUUACAAAUAUAUAUAGACACACUCUUCUUGAUAUACAUAUGUGUGUGUGGUACCAUUUUUAUAUAUCUAUUGCAUGUAUUAGAUGUAUGUAUCUUGGUUAAUUCAGAGCCUUGCUGUCCGUUUGUCUUUCUCAAAUGCAUAUAUUUUCGAACAUAUCCAGGCAAACACAAAAUUCAAAACUAAAUUCAUAGUCAAAACAUUUAAAGGCAAAUGACAUUGAUAAUAUCAACCCAAAUCAGCAAAGAAAAGUAAUAUUGGGAAAUAUCCACCACUACCUCAGACGGAAGCUCGUUUUCAAUAAUCCUUUGGUUGUUUAUAAACCCUUUGAUGGGCACACAGAUGCCACGCACAGUCUCAAGGUUGAUACGACCAUAACGCUAAAAUUUCCUACAGAGAUAAAAAGAAAUCAACAAAAUUUAGCCAACUCUAAAUUCAGCAGAGGAAAACAAAAAAAACCUUAAAACAACAGAAAAACCAACAUCCAGACACAAAAAUAAUGGGUUAAAGCAACGAAAUCCAUCUGUAAAAGAGUUUUACAAAUUUUAACAACAACUUCCCCAAAAAGGAAAAAUAAAUCAGAAAAAGGUAAAUUAAUUUACCUGAAAGUUCAAAUCUUUUGGGGUUUUGGCUUCAGUUUAAAUACCAGAGAGAUGAAACCCAAAAGAAAAAUUACUCCCAAUUUUUUCAAAAUCCCAACAGCUCCGAUCCUGCGAGAGAGAGCUCGAGAAGAUGGAGCAAAGACUGAGAGAAUCAGGACGGGAAACAGGCCAAAUUAGCAUAAAAUUAUCGGGAAAAUUAAACAAUAAUGACUUGCCUGGUAAAACAAAAGGUUUUAAAGAGGUCGUGGAAACCCUACCAAAUUUGAUGUGGGUAUUGGAAGAGAGAAUCUGACUGUGAUUGGUUUCAGAUCAGAGGAAGAAGAAGAGAGGAACCUUCGAGAAAGAAAGAGAGAGAGAGAGAGAGAGCUGCUUCGGCUUUUGCAUCCUCCUUCCCAUUACGCGAUAUUCAACACGCGCACAACACGGGUAAAAUUGUCAUUUCACUGUGCAAUACAGAAAAUUGACGUUGAGAAUCAGCAGCAGCGAAGGGCAUUACCGCCAUUUCACUGUUCAUGAACAGUUAAAAACAGUGCCAACAAAACCGAGUUUUAGUAUAUAGAUAAUUUUCCAACCUAUUAUUCUGGGUAAAUUACAUAAUAACCCUAUAGGUUUGACAUCUAUUACAACCUUAUACAAUAUCUUUAAAACAUUUCACUUUCAUACCUCACGUACUAUUUUAUUUCAAAAUAAUAACUCUGUUACAUUUUCCAUUUAUUAAUUCAUUAAGUGCUAACGUGGCUGACACAUUUGUGCCACGUGGCUACCAAAUGUGUGCCACGUGGCCUUUUUUUAUUUUAAUUUUUUUAAAAAAAACCUGAAUCAUCUAAAUAAAUUUAAAUAAAUUAAAAAAAACUUAGAAAAUGCAGAACCCACCCCCGCAACCUCUCCCCACCCCUAUUCUCCCUCUCAAGCUUCCCAACCACCUCCCUCUCCUCCACUCUCUUCACCUCUCCUCCCAUCCAAAAACCCACCCCACCCCUACCUUCCCCAAGCCCUUUUCUCCUUUUCACCCCCACCCCCUUUCCCACUGCACCCCGCACCCACCCUCCACACCCAUCCUCUUCCCUCCUCUACAUACCCCACUCCUUAAAUCCACACCCAUUCCUCCCGGCGUAGACGAGAUCUGGGUUUGGAGAAGAGAAUGGAGGAGGAGGGAGGAAGACGAACUGAAGGGGUUUUUUAUGUUUUUUUUAAUUCUGGGUUGCAGGGGAAAGAAGAUGAAGAUGGGGAUAAGAGAUGAGGAGGAGGAGGAGGAGGGGGAGAGACGAACUGAAGGGCUCCUUCUUUUUUUUUCCUGGGUUGCAGGGGGAAGAAUAUAAAAGAGAGGAGGAGGAGGGGGAGGGAGGUUCGUCUGCGUGGGUCGUGGGGGGAUAAGGUUUCUGGGUUUGGGGGUUGCGGGGAGGUGUGCUUCAGGUUUAGGGAGGUGAAGAGAGUGAAGGAGAGGGAGGUGGUUGGGAGAGAGAAGAGGGGUGGGGAGAGGUUGCGGGGGUCGGUUCUGCAUUUUCUAAGUUUAUUUUUUAUUUUUUAUAAUUUAUUUAGAAGAUUCAGGUUUUUUUUUUUUAAAUUAAAUUUUUUUUGCCAUGUGGCACACAUUUGGCAGCCACGUCAGCGUUUAACGGAUCAAUGGAUUGAAAAUGUAAUGGAGGUAUUAAUGGUAUAUCAAUGGACUUCUUGCCGAGUAUGCAAAGCCAUUGGACAAAGAAUUCCAUUCUCCUAGAGAUGCACAUGGACAUGGUACUCAUACUUUAAGCACUGUAGCUGGUUCUUUUGUGGCUAACAUUAGCUACAAGGGCCUUGGUCUUGGUACAAUUAGAGGUGGUGCUCCAAAUGUUCGGUUGGCCAUUUACAAGGUUUGUUGGAAUGUGCUUGGAGGCAAAUGCUCAACAGCUGAUAUGUUGAAAGCUUUUGACGAAGCAAUACACGAUGGGGUUGAUGUGUUGUCAUUAUCACUUGUGAAUUAUGUUCCCCUCUUCUCAGAUGUUGAUGAGCGUGAUGGCAUUGCAACUGGUUCGUUUCAUGCUGUGGCUAAAGGGAUUACUGUUAUGUGCGCAACUAGAAAUAAUGGAUCUUCAGCACAUGUAAUGAAGACUUUCCAUGCUUUAUAUCCAUGCUUUAUAUCCAUGUAAUGAAGACUUUCCAUGCAUUGAAGUUGACUAUGGGAUUGGCACUCGAAUUCUAUUUAUAUCCGGUCUACCAAGUACGUAACUUUAAACUUUAUUGUAAAAUGUGUGAUUAGUACUGCUAGGUUUGUUUGUAAUCCUCAAAAUUUGUUUGGAAUGCACAUAUAUCCUCUUGUAAAGUUGAGCCCUCCUAAAAUGAUUGUGGGCAAACCACUAUCUGCAAAGGUGGCUUAUUUUUCCUCUAGGGGGCCAAACUCCAUUACACCAACAAGUCUCAAGGUAUCUACUCUAAAUUAAUGCUGAUGUUCGAUGUAUAACGGGUUGGGCGACUGUAGUUUUCAUGUUGACAUCAACUUUUGAAAAUUUGUAACUCUCAACAGUUCAAUAAACUGAAACUUUUUUCAAGGGAUCAUCUCUUGCAUGUUUUCUCCUGGAAAAGUUAACAAGUUUUAGGUAGAGACAAGUUGGUGUCAUUCGAGAUUCACUUUAAAGUCUUAAACUGUUGAGACUCUUCUUAUAACACUUUUUUUAUUGUUGUAUCUUUGUCGGACAGCCAAAUAUAGCCGCGCCUGGUGUGAACAUACUAGCAGCAACUUCUCCAUUUUAUUCAUUCACGGAGGGUGGAUAUGCCAUGAUGUCUGGAACAUCAAUGUCAACUUCUCAUGUCACAGGCAUUGUGGCACUUAUCAAGAGAAUGCAUCCUAAUUGGUCUCCAGCAGCCAUCAAGUCAGCAAUAAUCACAACUGGUAAUCACAUUAUAUGAUAUGUUCCUAAUUUCAAUAAGAUAUAUGUGAAACCUAACAGUUUUAUGAAUUUAAAUGAAGCAUGGAGGAACGGCCCAUCUGGUUUACCGAUAUUUGCUGAAGGAUCUCAUCAAAAGUUGGCAAAUUCAUUUGACUUCGGAGGUGGUCUGGUGAAUCCCAAUGGCGCAGCAGAGCCUGGACUAGUAUACGAUAUGGGCGCAGCCGACUACAUGGAAUAUCUUUGUGCAAGGGGGCACAACAACUCUGCCAUCUCUCGGCUUAUAGGGAAAAUCACAACGUGUCCCGUGAAGAAGCCCUUUAUCCUUGACGUUAACCUACCUUCCGUGACCAUACUUGUGGAUGCAAAUUUAUUCCUCCUUGAUCUUGGACAAGAUUACACCUACAAAACAAUUAACAUCUUUGGUUAAGGCCAAAAGCCUUACGCGCCCACAAUGAAUGGGGGGGCUUUGGCUAAUAUGAUAUGACCGCCGCUUGCCCUUUACCAUUAUGUCGUCGACAUAGACCUCCAUGGUUACCCCAAUUUUCUUUUUGAACGUUAUAUUUACUAACCUUUGCUAAGUGGCUCCAACGUUCUUGAGGCCAAAAAGGUAUGACCUUGUAGCAAUAAGUGCCCCGCUCGAUCACGAACACGAUUUUCUCUUUGUCGGGCUUAUGCAUGGCUAUUUGGUUGUAAUCGGAGUAUGCGUCUAAGAAGCUAAGCAGCUGGUUCCCAGAAGUUGAAUCUAUUAUCAGAUCGAUCUAAGGGACAUGAUAAGGAUCUUUUGGGCAUGCUUUGUUGAGGUCGGUGUAGUCUAUGCAAACCCUUCAUUUGCGCUUAUCUUUCUUCAUGACUAGUACAACAUUGGCAAGCCAUACCGAGUGUACUACCUCUUCUAUGAAUCCGGCCUCCAAUAGCUUGUCAAUUUCCACCUCAAUGAUCGUUACUCGUUCGGGUGCGAAAUGUCUUCUUUUUUGGAUCACCGAUUUGGCAGUGGGGUCGACGUGCAGCUUAUGGCAGGCCACAUCCGAGUCAAUGCAGGGCAUGUCGGAUGGUGACCAUGCGAAAACGUCUCGAUUUUCUCUAAAGAAAGUCGUGAGUUCUUCCUUCUCGGUUGGGCUUAGUCGUGAGCCAAUUUUAGCCGUCUUUUCUGACUGCUGGGGAUCCAGAAUGAUGUCUUCGGUGUCUUCUUCGGGUUUCCAUCCUAUCUAGUCUGCUUGGGCACCAUCUUCUCGAUCCUUCUGCUGUAAUUGCUAUUUGGGAACCUCUCCGUCCCUUUGGACUUCAGUAGCUUCUACGGGGGUAAAGGUUUUUUUUUUAAUUCUUUCAACAUUUGCACAGUGCAUUAUCGGGAUGUGGCCUGGUCAGACUUGACCUUUCCGAUUUCUCCUCCCGGGAUGGGAAAUCAGAUUUUUUUGACACUUGACGGAAGUGACUGUGUCCAGCUUAAUCAACCAAGGUAUCCCAAGAAUCCCAUUGUAAGGAGACUGGUCACUUAUGAUCAUGAAUGUCUGCUUAGAAACAACUGGCUAUGUUUUCACGUUAAGUGUGAUGUGACCGAUAACAGUUGAGGUGUGUUCGUUGAAUUUGGUGAGUACCUUUGCUCGGCUUAUGAUUAUGCUUUCUAGGCCCAUCUUCUAAAUGACUGAGAGUUGAAGCAGAUUGACUGCACUUCCAUUGUCAACCAUCAUCCUGUCAACUAUAGCAUAGGCUAAUUAGACAGAUACUACUAGUGCGUCAUCAUGGGGGAAAUCGACGCCUUCUGCAUCCCAUUCAAUGAAGCUGAUAAUGGGUCCAAGUUGGGUAUCAACUGUUUGGAUUUGCGAGAUUAGUAAAGCCUGCUGGAUCUUCCUCUUUUUGGAGUUAUUAGUGGCCCUCAAGUGUUCGGAUUCGGCGAAGAUGUCAUUGAUUCGAAUCGUCUUGGUUGGCGGCUCCUUAUCAUCGUCUGCAUUCCUUCUUGGUUGCGCAGCUGGCUUGUCCAAGUAUCUAUCGACCUUGCCUUCUUUCAUGAGUUUAUCUAGAUAGUUCUUCCAAGUGUAGCAGUCGUCGGUUGUGUGACCAGGACCUUGGUGGAAUGAGCAAUACUUGGUGUGGUCCAACUUGGAAGUAUCUCAUUUUGAUUGUUUCGGCAGCUUGAACUAUGGCUCGUUCUUGAUGUCACAAAUGAUUUGAUGGAUCAGAAUUGAGAACUUAGAAUAGUUCUUGGUUAUUGGGCCUUUUUUUGUCGUGGGUCGGUCCCUACGUUUGGCCUCCUAUCUGCUCUUGUUGGGCUGCUUCCUGUCUUCCUUCCUUUGAGCCGCUGCCAACUCUUUUCGAGGCUACUCGGGCACUUUUUCUGCUCGUCUAGCCUCGUCCUAAAGUGCAUGCUUCUCUAUCCUGCUAGAGUUAGGUUUUCUUUCAUGAUCAUUUCUCCGAACAGUGAAUGGUUUGUUAGGAGUCCUUUUUGGAAGGCUGCAAUUACUAUUGAGUCGUCACAUCCGACGAUCUCUGCCUUCUCUUAUUUGAACCUCUUUACGUAGUCGCGAAGCGACUCAUUUGGGUUUUUCUUCACGUUGAACAAGUUAUCAGACUUUUUCUUGAUCGAGCGAUAUGAUGAGUAUUCUUUGCGCAUCGUUGUUUCGAUAAAGGACCAUCGCACUUCGGUAGUGCUUCAAGAGCCUUUCUGGAUCUCCAUCUCUUUUGAAAGAUGUGAAGUGUGACAUGCUAAACUUGCAUGAAGGCUCUGCUUGCUCAAUCUCAUUCGUGAAGGGUGAUCUACUUAUAUUGGUCAUGUCCCGCCGUAGUACCUCAUCGGCCGCUUCGUUGUGUUGAAAAUCACGCAAUCGUUUAUUGAAGAGUCUCUUUAGCUCUUCUUGGAUUUGCCUUUGCUGAGGUAGCAGAGCUCUUGACUACCCCCGAUCUUGACCUACUGAUCUAGGUUGCUCUUCCAUGUUCUUGGUUUGUUCACACCGAGGCGGCGGUGCAUGUGGCCCAUCCCUAGCAGGCAAGGGAAUUCUUUGCAGGCUACCGGUUGAACUUGAUUCGGAUUGAGUGACUGCUUCUCUUCGUUCAUCAUGUUGUCUGCUCCGAUGUGAUGUGGAGAAUGCUCAUUGCGGACUUAACCGCAAAUGCAUAUUUUGCCUUACUCAUGUUGAUUAUCGGAGCGUGGCCCCAACUGUGAAUGUAUACUUGCCCGUGAGCCUAAUCGAGAGUGCACACUCCUCCAAGUGCUAAGACUGGAGUAUGCUCUAUCUCAAUGACCUAAUCGGGAGUGUACAUUACCCGAAUGCUCGAUUUGUGGUUGGUUGAGUGACUGCUUAAUAGGGUGCUGCUAGAGAGGUUCCUCGUCUACCCUUAUCUUACUUUUGGACACCUCGUCUGGGGCACGUUGUAUCUCGGUGCGUUACAAAAGUUGAUUCACCAAGGUUGUCUAUUAUGCCAGGGCGCUCGCCAACUCCAUGACUUAUCGGGACAAGUGCUAUUCACCGUUCGGAUUGGAAGAGCUUAGAAGGAAUAUGCCUCUUUAAGCAGUGGAAUAGUGGUAGGCUCUAAGCGCGAUAUUUGAGUUAGGAAAUGUCAAAUCCGCCGAGAAAUGUGGUGAAAAUACCCCCGGUUCGAUGAUUGGUCCUAAUGGUUGGGAUAGUCUCGAACCGACUUGGGCUGCUUGGGAAACCACAUAAGCAGGUUGGGUUGCAGGAGCAAGUUGGGCCACGAGAGUGGGCUGCUCAGUGCAUGAUGCACGCGAAUGCGAGGCUUGGGAUCGGCUUGGCAACGCAUUGAGCUCGCGGUGGGCUUGGAGUGACAUGGCUUGGGUCAUGGCCUUAGUGUCAUGGGCCUUGGAUGGCAAGGCUUGGGAUUGUUUUGGUGGCACGGCUCGGGCCCUGGUAGUGGUGCCAUGGACCUCACCGCGGGUGGCUAUCACCGCGGUGGUUCCCGUGGUGGAAACUCGUGGUGGUGGUGCCAAUCCACCUAUUGUCACAUUUAGCCUCGUGGAUUGCCGCAGUCCCAUCUCUUAAAUAUUGGAAUUUUCACUUGUUGAAUUUUCUAAGUUUCUAGCGAUUGCUCUUCUCUUUUACGUUUUAUCAAAGAAUUUUUGCAAAUAAAAAAUUCUAAUAAUAAAAACGUACGAAAAACUACAAGUGGACUAGAAAAUAGAGAAAAAAAACCUUUUUAUGCGAGAGUCUUGUACGAGUGUGUGACUCUUUUCUCAAUGAAAGCACCAAUUUGUGGAUGCAAAUUUCUUCCUCCUUGAUCUUGGACAAGAUUGUACGAGUGUGUGACUCUUCUCUCAAUGAAAGCACCAAUUUGUGGAUGCAAAUUUCUUCCUCCUUGAUCUUGGACAAGAUUGCACCUACAAAAUAAUUAACACCUUUGGUUAAGGCCAAAAGCCUCACACGCCCACGAUGAAUGAGGGGGGGGCUUUGGCCGAAGAACCUCCGAUGCCAAAGUUAGAAUUUAGAGAGAAAAGUGUUUAGAGAGUUUUUGGAGUUUUGCAAUAGUGUCGACUAAGGUUUUUAGAGAAAAUGGGGUUUAAUAUAUAGAGUAUGGCUGGUCCCCUUUGGAGAAAAGGUGGCCGGCCUUUGGGAUGUUUUUUGGGUGUAUUUUGUGGUUUAAUGUGUGAUUUAUUUGGCAAUUAAUUGAUUAAGUAGGCAAUUAAUCCAUUGAUUAGCCAAUUAACACAUUUUUGGAAAUAAAGUUUUGGAGGUUAUUGAAUGAAUAAAAUAAAUAGCUAAUUGAUUAGCUAAAAAAAGGUAAAAUGAGGUAAAAUAUAUAUGGAAUGAAAUAGGUUUUGGGAGUUACCUUGUAGAAGGGAUUUGAUGAGAUAGGUUUUGAAUUGUUACCUAUUUUGGGCACUUUUAAUUUAGUUGAAUGAUGAUUGCCCGCUGCUUGCGCGUAGGCCUGUAAAUGGGUCGGGUUUAUUGGGUUUGGGUCGGGUUUAACCCGACCCGUUAAGCUAAUGAGUCUUAACGGGUCACCCAUUUCACCCGUUACUGUUUUUUUAUUUUAUUUUAUUUUAUUUUUUACUCAUUUCAUCCAGUCAAUGUGUUUUCCUCACAUUACUUCAACUAUCACAAAUUCAAUAUCAGUUAAAAAAAAUAUUACUAAAUAAAUAACUGCUACAAGGAAAGUCAACUCAUGUGUGCAAAACUUAUUUUGAGUAUAUGUUACUAUAUUUUACCACCACACACUAAAAACAAGGGGUUCCCUAAUGCCGAGUACUAAACACAUAUAAGCAAAAGGCAUUUUAACAAACAACUCCUCUGUGAUCAUACAGAAUCUGGACUUCUGCAAAACUCAAAUAGAAGAAGCACUGCAUUUUAACUAUUAGAUUAUGGGUCCAUUCCAAACCGACCAACUGGAGAACAAGUGCAUGGCACGGUAAAUACUUACAUGACUGGGAGGGAUGUGUUUUCCUCACCCAUACAAAGUACGUGCAGCAAUCAUUUACAGCGUAUUCAUCAAAGGUCAGAUGAGGAUUGAACUCACAACAAACAACUUAGAGGCCUCAUAAUUCUAUCUUGAUUACAAGUACACUCCCAUUGAUAAGUUCCUUGAUAUUUGCUUGGUUGAUCCUCCCAAGCCAAAAUUAGCAGCAUUCUAAUUAGCAAACUUGGUAGAUCCUACAAUGUACUUUGCUGCCAUUUUCCAACUACAAUAAUAAAGAACACAACAAUAAGAAAAAUGGAGAAAUGUUGAACGAGAAUAGCCAUUUUCCAACUACACUUCACUCAUCACCUAUAUAGCCUUUAACACAUUGUGCCUUAGCUUAACAAGAUAGUAUUACAUGCAGAUUACGUAGAAAAAUGUCUUUAAAAGAACAAGUUAAAAAACAUACCAUACUUAAUCAAGACUAAUACUACUAGAGCAUUGUCCCGAGUUUUCGUUAAGGCUCAUGUCAAAAAUUUCUUCAGUAAGUUCUUCCAAGUCAGCACCCUCUUUCUCUAAAGCUAAACAUAAAAAGAAAAAAGGAAAAACAAUUAUAACCUAUUAUCUAAGCAAAAAAACAAAAAAAAAAAAAUACAAAGAAAUAUGAAAUUUACCUUAUUUGCCAAAAAGCCAAUCUCUAGUACAUAGCAAGACUUGAACGGUUUCAGGCAACAAAGAACUUCGAUAUUGAUCAAGCACCCUACCACUAAUACUAAAUGUUGAUUCCGAGGCAACAGUUGAGAUAGGAAUUGUUAACACAUCAGAAGCCAUAGAGAAAGUACGGGAUAACGAAAUUGCUCCAGUUUCCACCAUGAAAGAAUAUUCAACUCUUGUUUUCUAUCGAGUCUCUUUCCUUCAAGAUAUAGAUGUAAUUUAGUUUUUUCAACUGAAGUUGACCCAUCUUGAUAAAUAUUAUCAAAUUCCUACAUAUAAAAACAAAAUAGAAACAAAAUAGAAACAAAGAUCAACGUACAAUAUAAAUAUGCAUAUAAAAAGUAUAAAAAGUAUAAAAAGAGGAAUAACAAAUAUAAAUACUACCUCAAAGGGUUUGUCUCCAACUUUUAUUUGAGUAGGAGUUUGAUUAACUGGGUUGGAUACAAGAAGAUGAGAGAACUUAUCCAUGUAACUACCAAAGAGUGCAAACAAUGUGUCACUAUCAUCCUUCAACUCUCUCGACUCCUUACCAUAAAGCUUGUCAUAACCCCACUCUACAAAUUGCAAUUUAUAGCGAGGAUCAAGAAUCACUGCAAUGACAAGGAUCAAACUAUACUCUGACCAAUACUUUUCAAACUUCAAAUUCAUAUAACUCCCCAUCCGUCUCAUGAAAUCAUCACAAUCUUCCAUAGCAUCUUAAAUACAAUAAUGGACUUUGAACACUUUUGGGAAGAACAAGUUUGAUGUAGGGUAAUUUGUUCCGGAAAAUAAGCAAGUAACUUCAUAAAAAUACCCCAAGAAAUUGAAAAUCUUCUCUAUUUUAUCCCACUCUUCCAAGGAAGGAUAUGAACUAAAAUUAGAAUCAACAAGUGCCAAAUUGAAAAAAGCACGACGAUAGAAAUGGCACUAUCAAGCAUUGUAUAUGUCGAAUACCAUCUAGUAGGCACAUCUUGUCUCAACCCUCUUUUACUACCUGCCAACCCUACUUGUGCAACGCAAGUAAAAAACUUAUUUUUUCUCCCUUCUGAACACUUUAUAUAUUUGAUGCACUCACGAACUUUCGUCACUGAUCCAUCAAUUUCUUUUAGUCCAUCUUGGACUAUCAAGUUUAGAAUGUGAGCACAACAACAAACAUGGAAGAACUUUCCAUCCAUUAAUAGCGAACCUCUAAAAUUUAAUUGUUUCUUCAAUAACUCAACAGAACAAUCAUUUGCAGAUGCAUUAUCCAAAGUAAUGGAAAACAGUUUCUUUUCAAUCCCCCAUUCAACUAAUAAGGUGUUAAUUUUUUCAGACAAAGCAACCCCGGUAUGUGGAGGAGGCAUACAACAAAAAUUUAAAAUUCUUUUGUGCAUUUUCCUUUCUUUGUCAACAAAGUGAGCUGUGAGUGAGAUAUCCAUCAGUUGUAGCAGAAGACCAUAGGUCAGAUGUCAAACAAAUUCUUCCCUCAACUGUAUUUAACCAAUCUCGAAGUCUUAUCUUUUCAUCUUCAAACAUCCUCAACACAUGUUUCUUAACUGUAUUUCUACAGGGCAGUUUGAUAUCAAGAGAUAUGUAUUUAAACAAAGUUCUAAUGCCCUCAUAUUCAACAAACCUAAAAGGCAAAUCAUGCUUAACUAUAGCCUAAAUCAAUAGCUCACAAAAACUAAUAUGGUUAAACUGAGGAGAACGCAAUUCAACUUGAGAUUUUUUCAUAUCAAUGUGAUGUUUUUUACUACACGUAUCCAUAUGAUUCAAUAGGUUUUUCGUCCCACAAUUACUAUCACAUACGUAAACUAUCCCACAGUUUUUACACUUCGCAUGUUGUUUAUUAUCAGGACCAACAGGCAAUUCUUCAAACAAAGUCCAAACACGGGAUCUCUUUUGACGUAUCUUACCUACUCGUAUACCUUUAGCCUUUCUUUUUGAAGGACUUGGUGCACUUAUUGUACCUUGCGUAUCACUUAGAUUGAAUGUUGACAUUUCCAUAGCCUUGAUGUUCUCUUCAUCAAUAUCCAUCUGCACUAACCAUAAAUGAAAAGACGUGAAUGGAAGAUGCAGUUUAAUUUCUACAAAACAUUUAUGUCUGACACACGCUUAACAUUCAAUAGCAUCAACUGCAACCACUUUAUCUCUCUUUUUACCAAUGUGCAUGACAUUAGCAGCAAAUAUUCAAUCUGUAUAUUAAGAAUUCUGACCAUAUCAUGUAUCUGCUUGGAAAGGAAGCCAAUACAUUGAUCAUUUAAAGCUUACUUUUUUAACAUGAAAGCCAUAAGAAUCACCAUACACCUUGUGAUUGACAUGUAAUGAUAGGAAUCAUCGUUGAAACAUCACAUAAGGCAAACAAAACUGGUUUGAUGAGAUGACCCCUCCCUCAUAUUUAUGUCUGACACACGCUUAACAUUCAAUAGCAUCAACUGCAACCACUUUAUCUCUCUUUUUACCAAUGUGCAUGACAUUAGCAACAAAUAUUCAAUCUGUAUAUUAAGAAUUCUGACCAUAUCCUGUAUCUGCUUGGAAAGAAAGUCAAUACAUUGGUCAUUUAAAGCUUACUUUUCUAACAUGAAAACCAUAAGAAUCACCAUACACCUUGUGAUUGACAUGUAAUGACCCCUCCCUCAUAUUUGAUGUUCGCGCCAACAAACUCUAGAUUAAAUUUUAAUAAGAGAUCAGAAAUGCUAAACAUUUGGAGUCUCGAAACAUCUUCUAUCUCCAACCAAUUUAAUCCCAUAGCAAAAAAAAUUCGUCUUCUUAGCAGUGCCUAGGUGACUAUAUUACUAAGCAAAUAGUCCUUCGUUAAACAUAAUCGGUUCUCUAAAAUUUAUCGAUGAAAGGAAAAAUAUAUAUAUUCACUAAGAGUGAGUGAACAAAGUAUGUGUGAAAACCUUCCAUGCUCCUAAUCUUCCUAGAUUCCUACUCUCGUUGUAUUACUCUCUUGGUUAUAUUUCUAUUACAUAUUCAUAUGCACAAACAGGCAGGGAAACAAUAUCCCUCUUAAAUCUUAUUGACACUUGACUUCCAAACUCAACAUUGAAAAGAACUCCUUAAAUUACAUUUCAAUCUAAACAGGAACCCAAAUAUUAGAUAUGGACAUUAGCUCAAAUAUUAUAUUAGUUUGGGUUCCAGAAAAUAAGCAAAUAUUAGCUCAAAUAUUUGGCCUGUUUAAAAGUGAAGUGCUUUUGUUUAGUAUUCGUAAGUGAUCAAGGCCACCAGUGGUGGUUUUUCUGAUAAAAUGCAAAAACAACAGCAUCCUAUCUCAACUGUUGGAUUUACCCAAAAAAUGUGGAGACCUAAUCAAUGCAAAAGCAGAGACCUAAUCAAUCCAAGAAAGUCCUGCGAUUUACCCAAAAAUGCAGAGACCUAAUCAAUGCAAAAGCAACAGACAUAAUGCAAAAACAACAACCCAAUUCCAAUUCAAAAACCUACCAAAACAUAGCAAACUCAAUACUUUUAAUUUCAUGGGGGUGAAAUAACAACUCCAAUUUACCCAAAAAUGGAAAUUUUAAUUGGAGAAUAUACAAAUGAACAAAUUUUACACAAAACCCAUGAACAAAAAGCAAAACCCAAUAUCCAAAACACAACCAAAAAAAAAAAAAACCCGAAAAGGGUCGAAUCUAAUCUGCAGAGACCACCUAAAAUCAAGCUCAAGUAAAAUCUGAGAAAAAAUAGAUGAAUCUAAUCUGCAAAAACGAAAAGUAAUCGAAAUGAAAGAAAAGGUGGAAGGGAAUUGGAGCUUACCAAAGAGAGAGUGGUGGAGUUCAGUAAAAAUUUUGAGGGAAGAAGAUGAGGGAGAUAACCGGAGCACAGCGAUCUCUCAGUCUCAGAGAGCUAACGAAUGGUGUGCGAGGCAACGACUAGCAACUAGCAAGAGAGCUAGGAACCUGAGGGUUUUGUAAACUAUUGAAAUUACACUUAAGUCCUUACUAACGGGUGUUAAUGGGUGGUUAACGGGUUUCACGGGUUCACCCAAAUUGACUCGUUAUUUAACGAGUGAUUAAUGGGUUGACCCGUUAACCACCCGACCUGUUUAUCACCCACCCGAAUACUAAUUUUAACGGGUUGGGUCGGGUCGGGUUAACGGGUUGGGUUGAAAAUGCCAGCCCUACUCGCGCGUAGGAAUCCCGUUGUACCUCAAGGGUAUUUUUGUCCUCUUUUGUCCAAAGAUUCACGUAUCGCAUUGUGAUUAUUUUUGUUUCCACAAUACCUAGUCCGAGAAAUCCCAUCACAGUAAAAAGGACUGUAACAAAUGUUGGAGCCCCUGAGUCCAUUUACAAAGCUACCAUUGAACCUCCAUUCGGUACAAUUGUAUAUGUGAACCCUACUGCUCUGGCCUUCAAUUCCACAGUUGAAAAACUCACUUUCACAAUCACAAUCUCCGCAAUCCACGAGAUGAACACUGGUUACUAUUUUGGAAGCCUUACUUGGGUUGACGGAGUGCAUGCCGUGAGGAUCUCUUUGUCCGUGAAAACUGAGUUCUUACAACCUCAUGAUGAUGAUGAAGACUAAAUUGAAUACUGAAAUAAAUUUGUGCAUUUUAGUAAUGAAAAAUAUCCGAUAACUAUAACAUUAUCAUUCCAUAUGUACUAAAAAUAAGAUACCAAUGAUCUCACACCCGAAAACACAAGAAACAAAAAGAGGGAAAAUAAGUAGUGGAUCGUAUGUGUUUUCUUGUAUCACCAGAGGGACAAAGGAGAAAGAACUUGUUGACUGAAUCUCAAUGUCCAUUAUUUUCGCUAGGAAAUUAUGGAGGAAAGCAAUUUAUAAUUUAAUUGUUUAGUUUUUCGUUUUAAUUUCUUUUUUGUAUUAGCAGGUGACAAGUGUUGAGUUGGGUCAUAGUUUCAUACAACAUGGUCACCAUUGAAGAUCAAAGCAGGUGGUAUUCGUAUCACUUCAUAUUUCUGAUCAAUACUUGGAUGAUAUAAAAUUAAAUGUGAGAAAUCAUAACCUUUCAUUUCGCCAUAUAUAUAAUUAUAUGGGUAAACAAAUCUCCAUAAUAAAAAUGUUCUGGUUCUCUCUCUUUUUUAAAAUCACUAAAGCUUUUGGGCAUAAUAAAACUCUUAAAUACCAAUCCUUGUUUCAAAUAAAUGAAAAAUGAAUGAUCGAAGUCCGUUGUAUUUUUUCCCUUCAGCUAUUUCUUGGAAAGGUUCUUUGUAGGGUUUGGUGUCUUUCUGUGCAGUGCAUAAAUUUUGUAAGUAUAUUGUGUACAGGGGUUUGUAAACAUUAUUAACACACUAUCUUUUCUACAAAGAUAAAUUUAACCUGAAAAGAAAAUAACUCAAACAGACUUUUGGUUUUUGUCUUUGAAAAACCUAGACAGUAUGAGGGUGAUUUUAUUGAUGACAAAAAAAAAGAAAUUACACUUAGUUAAGGGAGACAUAAACUUUACUUCUCAUAAAAGUACAUGAAAAAAAAGGGAUAUGAAACCUGAGUCCUCUAAAGCCAAACCUAAAAGGUCUAAAACCCGCAAAAUAAGUCGAAUAAUUCCACAAAGUUAGGACAACUCAAAUGGACUUAUAUGUAUGCUUCUUUGUUACAAACUAUAGCCUAUUCUUAUAAAAACAAUUUCUUGUAUAGGCUUCUUAUAUGUAUGCUUCAUCUUCUCCACGAACUUAUGAAUUAAGUGAAUAUUUUUUUCCUGCAAAAUUUAUUCCUCACAGGACACAGGAUUUUCAAGUGAUCAAUGCACUUUCGUCCUUAGUUUUCCAACGACAAAUUUAACUCAUUAGGUCCAUUACCAUAUCGUACUCCCAAAUUCUCCGACACUCCAAGGAAAUUUUUGCAUGUAUUAGGAGAAAUACCGCCACGUAUUGUUAUAAUUUAAAAAUAAAUUAAUAGUUUUGAUAUAUCUUACAUUUAAAAUUUAAUUUAAAAAGCAAAAACAUGUUAUAAUUUGAAUAAAAUAAUAAAUUUAUGUGAUGGUGAUUUGGGUGUUUUAAACCGUACUACUACUAUACUAACCAUAUCUUUCCCUUCUUCACGGGCCUUUGAUUGCCAUGACUCAUUUUGACUUGUCCUCGCGCUUCCUAUAUUUUUCCCAUAAACUUUGUUUAAGUUUACGUAGGAAGGAAUUUAGCAGUUCAUUAGAUCCAGUUCAAGACUCCUUUUUGUUCUGUUCUGUUCUGUGCUGUUUUUUCUCUUUUUAUGUUCAAGCCAAACACAUGGACACUACAUAUGCAGUAAUGUAGAGCAUGUGUAAUUGUUGGAUUUCACAUGCGGAUAAUUUGUUUUGAUACCACGAAGGUAGUUGAGGUUUCACUAUAAAGUGUGUUGAUAAUGAAUCACGCAUUGAUGAGAAGCGGGGAUCUUGCAUGAGCUUAUCAGUAAGCUAAGAUAUUCCUCAUAUUACCAAUUGAUUUAAGGUGAAACCUCAACUUUCUUCAUGAUAUUAGAGUAGGUUAUCUCAUGUGUGAAGACUAGCGGCCACACGUGCCCCACUUCUGUUCCAUGUGUUAGGCUUGAAAAUUUUCACUACACGUGAGAGGGCAUGUUGAGAAUGAAUCACGUAUUAAACGGAGGAGGAAUCUUGCAUUGACUUAUAAAUAAGUUAAGUAAUUCCCCAUAUUAACAAUUAACUUUAUAAUAAAACCUCAGCUUCUUCACUAUCAUGCACAUUCAGAUGUUGCAGAAGAAAAUAUAUUAACAGGCCUCUAAAAAGUUGGGUACUAUAGUUGAACUUGUCAGUAGCGUUGGGUGAAUGCUGCUAUUAGUUUUAUUAUGUCAUCAGUUUGAUCAGUUCUGAAAUAAGCUAUUUGAGAACUGAAACUAGUGAUGCAAACUUGAUGGUGGCUGCCAAUCAAAUUAUUUUAUUAGGCAGCUCUGUUCAUAGAUUAUAUAUGAUAUAUCACACAAUCAAAUUAUUUUAUUAGGCGGCUCUGUUCAUAAAUUAUAUACCACACUUUCAUUUCAUAUGAUCAUUGAGAUAAGCAGCUAAUAAGUACUAACAUAAAGCUCUUAACUUAAAGAAUUAAGAACAUUUAUCGUUUGCACCCAAGGUCCUAGCUCUAAGUCUGAUUGAUUACUUAAACAAAUAAAAGAGUGCAUAUCUGAGAUGCUCAAGUUACAAAGUAAUUCCUAUGAGAUGCCCUAUUUGCUUGUUUAUCAUUCAACACACGAGAUAUCACAAAUAAUAAACGUUGCAGUAAUUGCUAAUGUGCAGCUUCUUAAUGACCAUCAUCAUCCUAAUAGGUAUUAAACCCUAAUAGAUAAGUAGAUUUACCCAGACCCGGCCCCAUUCAUUGUGGGCUUUUACAAAACCUACUCAUACCAUAAUUGCCCCAAGCCCAUAUUCAACCUAAUGGGUGUUUUGGUAAAAUCACUUUCAAGGAUUUGCCCUUCUAAACUUAUGUGUCAAUUUUCUAAUAGCUACUCUAAUGGCUCUCUUUUAUUGACAGGCCCUUCAUCAAAAGAUGCAUAUUUUUAUUUUUAUUUUUAUUUUUCGACAAAGAUGAAAAUUUUAUAGUCUGUAUACUCGGCCAACAAAUAUUUGUAAAUGUUCAUUCCAAUGCAUUUUGAUUGGACAUUUCGUAUCUCUUGAUGGAUAGAAGUGAUGCCUAUUACUUUAUAGAAAAGAUUAGAAUUCUCUCACUUCUUUCCAUCUCCUUCUAUUUCAUUCUCUCAAAUUCUUUAUUAUUUUUUAAUUUUUUUUAUAAAAAAUUAAUAUAAAAUUUUGAUAUGGCUUAAAUGUGACUGUUCAAAUAGAAGGGAAAAGAAAGAGAGGAAAAAAAAAAGAGGGAAUAGAAUCGGGAAUAGAAUCAUACUCCUUAUGGAGAAUGUUUUCCAAUGCAUUUUGCAUGGACAUUUCCGAUCUCCAAUUGGAUAGAAGUAAAUCCCUAUUAUUUUAUAAAUUCACCUAUAUUAAAGAGUAUGUCAGUUUUUUAUUUUAAACAAAUGAUAUUAUUUACAUUAAUAGGAUGGAAGAGUGGGUUAAGCCUCACAAUAGGCUAGUAAUAAUGUGGUGCAACUUUGCAUUUGGUGAGAAUCGAAUAUAAGAUCUCACACUUACAAGUGAAAAGGAAUAAGAGUAUGUCAGUUUUGUGUGUUCCAAAUAACAUUAUUAUUAUUAUUUUAGUUGAUUGAUAAAAUCCUCCCUCAAGAGUACGGUCGAGGUUCCUUUAAAAAGAUUUUCAUUCUUCACUUGGUAUUUCACAAUUUUUUUAUCAAUGAUAUAUUUAUAGUAAAAGGAUGAGAGAAUAAGUUAAUUGCAAACUUGUUAUUCUCGUGAUUCAAAUUUAAGACAUCUUACUUUUAAUUAAUAAGGAAUACCUUUCAACCAUAGUAAUAAAUGACCAGUAUUUCACAACUUUGAAUAGAUGUGAAAUAUAAUAUAUAUUGUAGUAAAAAAAUCCCCGAUAAAAUAAGCGAAAAAGGAAAUGGAUAGGACCACAUAAUUAUGUCAUAAUCAUUUGGUAAUGUAUUAUUUCUGUCAAGACUUCUGCACGUUAGAGUGCCAGCGUGACUAGAAUAUCCAUUGUAUGGGUUAGAGAUUAAUUACAUUACCACCUAAGAUAUAUAUCAUAUUCCAUUCAUACUAAAAAGGCUCCAUAGUCGUCUUUGAUAUAGGAAUGCAUUUGACUCUCCUAAUAAAACUUGGUGGUAUUUAAUUAAUCCAUUUGUGUAAACAAUAUAUGCCACAUGAUUUGGAAAACUAUGUCAAGCCUUCUAGAAUUCUGUGAAAUGUCUACCACUUGUAAAUUGUGAUGCUCGUUACUCACCUGUCACUUUAUUUUAUAAAUAUUGCAGAAGACUUGGUCUUUAUAUUUGAAUUAGUACAAUUUGAUCAACAAGCACACCGUUUUUUUUUUUUUUUUAAUACGAUUGAUAUUUUACUUCAAAUUAAUCAAUACAAUUGUAUUCGAAUACAUAGAAGAGCACAUCUAAUUUCAUGUUUGCAAGUUUGGAUGAACUGAUUUGUCGAAUAUUUUCGAAACUUCAUGACAGCAGGAAGGGAGUUUAACUUCCAACGUCUAAAACAGUAUUCACCGCCAACCUUUUUGUCCCUUUUGUCUUCAUUUAGGGGGCGUUUGUUUGCCCUCACUAAGUGGGACUGGACUGGACUAGACUAGCUGUUAGUCCAAUACUGUGUUUGUUCCAUGCUGGGACUAAUAUUAAUGAGACUAAAGGGGACUAGCAUGGACAAAACCCUUCACUAAGAGGUCUUAGCGAGACCCCCCAAUAACCAUGGGACUAGCUAAGACUAUCCUCUCUCGUCCUCGUCAUGCUCAACAACCACUCCCGAUAGACUCCUCGUCAUCUCCGGUCACCUAGAUCAUAAUAAAAUAUUAAUAAUUUAUAUAUUAAAUAAUAUAAUAUUAGAAUUUGUUAUUAUCCAGCUUCUUAGUCUAACACUGCACCAAACGCUUCACUAAAUUAGUCCAGCUUAGUCUAGUCUAAGCCAAUCCAGCUUAGUCCUUGAAGCUAGUCCAGUCCGAGAUAGUCCGGCGCAACAAACGCCCCCUUAGGGUUUAAGGUUUAGAGAGAGAGAGAGAGUUAUUUUCCAAGCUACGAUUCUAGAACGUAAAUAGUCAAUCUGUCUCCGUCACCUUCUGUAUUAUCAUCCCUUGUUUCCUUCACUCUCUCUCUCUCUCUCAGGUCAAGAUAUUACUAAGCAAAAAGGAUUUGUAUUUUGUAGCUUUCAAAAGAAAAUAAAAUAUAUUAAUAGGAGCCUACUGCUAAGAGCAAUCAUUCUUGUAUACCCGAUGUUUCAAGUAGGAUAUCCCCCUUCCGGCUAAUAUUGCUUGUAUAAAAAUAAAAGAAUUUUAAUGAAAUAUUUUUCGUUUUGUUUACUUUUAACGAAAAAUCACAUUUUUACUUUUUCUGUCUACUAUUUACUACACAUAUAUUUAUCACUUUUCAUUAAAACUAAAUUUUUUUUGAAUUUUUAAUUAGUUUUUCUUAAAAAUAAAAGUCUGAAGUGAUCGAGGACUUUAAAGUUUAACUUUUCCCAUUAUUUAUUCUCUAAUUUCCCCUAACUUUUAUCGACUUGACCUACCCUCCAUGCUAGCAUGCACCAGCCUAAUGCUGUUAUAAAAAUAGCGGCUAACAACCACGUUAUGCAGAGUUAAUCAAAUGUUCAUAUACAUGCACUUGGUAUAGUUCAUUGCAAGUCAUAUGUGACCCUAGUUUUUUUUAUGGAGAAAUUAGAUUCACAUUCUUCUUUUUGCUACUCCAUUAAUUAAAAUUCUAUUCAUUUUCAAUUUUUGAUCAAGGUUCUUAGAUAUUAAUAACAUCAUUAAUUAUUUGAAUAAUAAAAUAUUUUUAUUUUUAAAUAUAUUCCCUUAGUGUUAAAAAUGUUACAAUUAGUAUAUUUAUAUUUAUGGCUAAAUUUUUUAUCAUAUAUUUUAUUUUUAGUUUGUACCUAUUUUUAAUUUACCAAUUUUUUUUUUCAUUUUUAAUUUGUACCCAUAUAUUAGUUUCUUUUUGUGCCCAUAUUUUUUAAAAGUUUUAUUCUUGUUUGUACUCAUGUGUAUACUGUUACGUGACAUUGUAAAUUUAAUCAAUGAUAUAAAAAUUACAUAUGGUAUAUUUAUGUUUUAUGCCUAAACUUUGUAUCAUAUAUUUAUAUUUUUAGUUUAUACCCACUUUUAAUUUGCAACAUUUUUUAAAUUUGUAGUAUUUUCUUUUUAGUUUUAUUUUGUACCCAUGUAUUAAUUUCUUUUAGCGCCUAUAUUUUUUAAAAAUUCAUUUGUACUCAUAAUUUUUUAAUCUUUUAUCUAUACCCUAAUUUAUUUAUAAUGUACCCAUUCUUCUUUAUUAAUGUACUACUUUGUUAUAUGUGAAAUGUACCAAUUUUUUUGUAAAAUGUACCAAAUUUUUAACACCAUGGAUACAUUCUUUUGCCAUUUAUUAUUUAUUAUUUUUACAUAGUUUUUAUCCAUUUAUUCAAUCAAAAUGUUUGAAUUUUUUUAUUGUAACCGUUUCUAAUAGUAUUAUAAUGAGGGAUUUUAAAUUUAUAGGAUUAUAAAUCUCAUAAAAUAUCAAACAAUUAAUGUCAAAACUAUAAAAAUAUAAAUAUUAAUUGUAAUAUAAUGAGUUGUACAAAGUCAAGGGACUUUGAUCAAACUUUGAAUACCAUUAAGGUUUUAGUCAAAGAAUGUUAAGGAUUAGGAACCACAUCCAAAAUAUCUUUUUUUUUUAUCUAUAUAUUCGAAAGAGAGUGCUCAGAUUCUUCAUCUUUAUUCGGUCAUAAUUGAUCAACCUCUUCCACACAAUCCCCCCCUUGUCUCUUUCUCUAUGUGGUAGAGACAAUAUGAGCAGCUCAAGUUCAAUACUCGCUCUACUCAGCCUUAUCUGUUUUACUGGUCAGGGAUUGAUAACAAGGGUGGCAGCAAAGAGCCAUGUAUAUUUUCAACAUCUCAAACACUUUUCUUGUUCUUUACGAUUUGCCUUUUCUUUGAUUUUUCUUCGAAAAAACUUGAACUGGGUGCUCUAAUACAUCUCUCAACCAACAGGUACACAUUGUUUAUAUGGGAGAUAGGCAGCAUGACAACACCAAGUUAAUCACAGAUUCACAUCAUGACUUGCUUGCCACUGUCGUGGGAAGGUAAUAUAAAUGGAUGUAGAAAAAUAAAGCCUUAAAGACCAAUUAUGUGAAUUUUAGUCUAGGAUCGAUGCUUAAAUAAACCAAAUUUGGAGUAAAAUGUUUGUUAAGUAAUUAUGUGGUUCUUAUGCCACAGCAGGGAAUUAGCCUCGGAAUUGAUGGUAUACAGUUACAAACAUGGUUUCUCUGGGUUUGCAGCCAAGCUCACGGAGUCUCAAACCCAACAACUUUCAGGUAUCUUUUAAAAACUUUGCCAUAGAUCAUUCAAUAAAGUCAUGUAUCGUGUUCAAUGAUUGGCAAUGAUAACACAAACUGCCAUGGACUCAUGAAAUGUUCUUCAAAUUUAAAUGAAUAAGAGCAUUGUACUUAUUAUAAUUAUGGCUUCUUAUGCUUAUAACAUUUGUGAAUUCAAGAGUUGCCUGGUGUUGUACGAAUCAUACCAAAUAGCCUUCAUAAGCUGGAAACAACUCGGAGUUGGGAUUUUCUUGGCCUCUCACCUCACUCUCCUUCCAAUAUUCUUCCCAAGAGCAACAUGGGGGAUGGAGUUAUCAUAGGUGUUCUUGACACAGGUUGCUCUCUCUCUCUCUCUCUGCCUCUCUCUCUCUCUCUCUGUCUCUCCCUUCCUCCCUCCCUCCCUCCCUCCUUCCUUCCCCUCCCUCACACACACACACACACACACACACACACACACACACACACACACACACACACACACAUGUACACACACGUAGUGGUCCCUUAACAUAACCACUCAAUGAAUCAAGGCAGGUAUAUGGCCGGAGUCUGAUUCAUUCAAUGAAAAAGGCCUCGGGCCUGUUCCAUCUCAUUGGAAUGGUGUUUGUGAAUCCGGGGACAAUUUCAAUGCUACAAUACAUUGCAAUAAAAAAAUCAUCGGAGCCCGUUGGUUUAUCAAUGGACUUCUUGCCGAGUAUGCAAAGCCAUUGGACAAAGAAUUCCAUUCUCCUAGAGAUGCACAUGGACAUGGUACUCAUACUUCAAGCACUGCAGCUGGUUCUUUUGUGGCUAAUAUCAGCUACAAGGGCCUUGGUCUUGGUACAAUUAGAGGCGGUGCUCCAAAGGCUCGGUUGGCCAUUUACAAGGUUUGUUGGAAUGUGCUUGGAGGCAAAUGCUCAACAGCUGAUAUGUUGAAAGCUUUUGACGAAGCAAUACAUGAUGGGGUUGAUGUGUUGUCAUUGUCAAUUGGGCAUCCUAUUCCCCUCUUCUCAGAUGUUGAUGAGCGUGAUGGCAUUGCAACCGGUUCCUUUCAUGCUGUGGCUAAGGGGAUUACUGUUGUGUGUGGAGCUGGAAAUAAUGGACCUUCAGCACAAACGGUUUCGAACACAGCACCGUGGAUCAUAACUGUUGCAGCAAGCACCAUGGAUCGAGAAUUUCCUACUUCUAUAACUUUAGGAAAUAAUAAAACUUUCCUGGUAUGUGUUUUUGUGAUUGGGGCAAUUAGCAUUUUGGAGUUUGAAGCAUCUCAUACACGUAUACUUUAAUAUUCUUGUAGGGUCAAGCUAUGUUUACAGGGACAGAGAUUGGAUUUACAAGCUUGGUAUACCCAGAGUCUAAAGGGCUUACCACUAGAGGGUACGUAGCAUUCUUAAUAACAUUGUGCCAGAUCUUACAGUUUGCCUAAUUUACAAUAUAUUUAUUAUUUGUUUUCACGAGUUGCUUGUUUUCAGUGUGUGUGAAUCCCUCUCACUUAACAAAACUAUAGUAGUUGGAAAGGUGGUUCUCUGCUUCACUACAAUGGGUCGUCGGGCGAUAACAAAUGCUUCAGCAGUUGUGAAAGAAGCAGGAGGUGUUGGCCUAAUCAUCGCAAAGAAUCCAAGUGAUGCUUUAUAUCCAUGUAAUGAAGACUUUCCAUGCAUUGAAGUUGACUAUGAGAUUGGCACUCGAAUUCUAUUUUAUAUCCGGUCUACCAGGUACGUAACUUUAAAUUUUAUUGUAAAAUGUGUGAUUAGUACUGCUAGGUUUGUUUGUAAUCCUCAAAAUUUGUUUGGAGUGCACAGAUAUCCUCUUGUAAAGCUGAUCCCUCCUCAAACAAUUGUGGGCAAGCCACUCUCUGCCAAGGUGGCUUAUUUUUCCUCUAGGGGACCAAACUCCAUAACACCAGCAACUCUCAAGGUAUCUACUCUAAUCUAAUGUACUUUUCAUGUUCACAUCAAUUCUUGAAAAUUUGUAACUCUCCGCAUUACAAUAACUGAAGCUUUCUUCUAGAGAUCAUCUCAUGCAUGUUUCUCCUGGAAAAGCUAUCAGCAAGUUUUUGGUAGAGACAAGUCUCUGUCGUUUGAGAUUCACCGUAACUGUUGAGUAUCUUCUUAUAACACUUUUUUUUGUUGUUGUGCCUUUGUCGGACAGCCAGAUAUAGCCGCGCCUGGUGUGAACAUACUAGCAGCAACUUCUCCACUUUAUUCAUUUGUGGAGGGUGGAUAUGCAAUGAUGUCUGGAACAUCAAUGUCAACUCCUCAUGUCACAGGCAUUGUGGCUCUUAUCAAGAGAAUGCAUCCUAAUUGGUCUCCAGCAGCCAUCAAAUCAGCAUUAGUAACAACUGGUAAUCACAUUAUAUGAUAUGUUCCUAAUUUCAAUAAGAUACAUGUGAAACUUAACAGUGUUAUGAAUUUAAAUGAAGCAUGGAGGAACGGCCCAUCUGGUUUACCGAUAUUUGCAGAAGGAUCGCCUCAAAAGUUGGCAAAUUCAUUUGACUUCGGAGGUGGUCUGGUGAAUCCCAAUGGCGCAGCAGAGCCUGGACUAGUAUACGACAUGGGUGCAGCAGACUACAUGGAAUAUCUUUGUGCAAGGGCGUACAACAACUCUGCCAUCUCUCGACUUACAGGGAAAAAGACAACAUGUCCCGUGAAGAAGCCCUCUAUCCUUGACGUUAACCUACCUUCCGUGACCAUACCUAGUCUGAGAAAUCCCGUCACAGUAAAAAGAACUGUAACAAAUGUUGGAGCCCCUGAGUCCAUUUACAAAGCUACCAUUGAGCCUCCAUUCGGUACAAUUGUAUAUGUGAACCCUACUGCUCUGGUCUUCAAUUCCACAGUUGAAAAACUCACUUUCACAAUCACAAUCUCCGCAAUCCACGAGAUGAACACUGGUUACUAUUUUGGAAGCCUUACUUGGGUUGACGGAGUGCAUGCCGUGAGGAUUCCUUUGUCUGUGAGAACUGAGUUCUUACAACCUCAUGAUGAUGAUGAUGAUGAAGACUAAAUUGAAUACUGAAAUAAAUUAGUGCAUUUCAGUUAUGAAAAGCAUUCAAUCACUAUAACAUUAUCCCUCCUGUACUAAAAAUAAGAUACCAAUGAUCCCACGCCUGAAAACGCAAGAAACAAAAAUUCGGAAAAGAAGUAGUGGAUUGUAUGUGUUUCUUGUAUCACCAGAGGGACAGAGGAGAAAGAACUUGUUGACGAAUCUCAAUGUCAUUAUUUUCGCUAGGAAAUUAUGGAGGAAAGCAAUUUAUAAUUUAAUUGUUUAGUUUUGCAUUUGAGUUUCAUUUUUAUAUUAGCAGGUGACAAGUUUUGAGUAGAUCGUAGUUUCACACAACAUGGUCACCUCUUGAAGGUCAAAGCAGGUGGUACUCGUAUCACUUAAUAUUUCUCAAUACUUGGAUGAUAAAAUUAAAAUGUGUGAAUUCAUAACCUUUCAUUUCGCUCUGCCCUCUCCCGAGAUCCUUAUGUUGAGAUCAUAUGAUAACUUGUAUUGAAGUCAUUAACAUUUGCAAAAACAGGUGUUAGUUAAACAAUCAGUGACUUUGCAGCCAGGAGCACAAGUUAAACCAUCGCAGUCGCGAUUAUGAGCACAGUCUGUCGCGUCUCCUGCAUCGGCUUGGAUCUCUUUUUCAUUUUUAUCAAGAGGAGGACAAAUGGAUUCAACACCUACACAUUUGCCAUCGUGUUUUGAAUAUGAACAUAGACCUCCAUCUUUUUUGCAUUCAAAAUCGUUCACACAUGGAACAGAGUAUCUAGUUCCAUAAACCUUCCAAUUUUGUGAACCUAAGAGAUGCAACAAGCCAAUUCGAUUUCAUCAGUCCUGUAGUACAAAAAAACACUGACUAGCUAAAAUUGGAGAGAGAGAGAGAGAGAGAGAGAGAGUGAGUGAGUACAUGUAGUAACAAAGACGACUAGCAGAACAACCAUCUUGAUAGUUGUCAUCUUAGGAUUUUUGAUCACUCGAAACUACGAAGGAUGUAUCAGUUUGUAGUUUGUAAGUCGGUUGUAUGUGAUAAUGAAUAUAUAGGGUAUGACCGGAUUUAGGCCAUAAUGUUAUUCCUUGGAGCAAAAUUGGUAACACGGAAAUUUGCAGAGUUCUUAAAAGGUUUUUCCUGUUUAAAAUAUAAUUUCUUUCUUUAACAAGAUUUUUUACAUUAACCCUUUUGCCAUACAUUUAAUUAUAUGGGUCAACAAAUCUCCAUAAUCCGAAAUUUAAUGAAACUUUAAGGACAGCUAUAGUUAAUUCACUUAUAAUCGAUGUUGUUGAUAUGAUUCUGGCUGAGGAUGAUCAACAAGAAAUUGUAAAGUCUUCCGACGAUUUGGUUUCCGAAUUUGAAAUGAAAAGAUUUGGGUGCCUUGAGUGUUUUUCGGGGAUUGAAGUCGCGCUUUUAGACCAAGGUAUAUUUCUAUUACCAAGGAAAUAUGUUCUUGAUCUGUUGACAGAAAUUGGUUUGCUAGAUUGUAAGCCAUCUGAUACACUUACUGUUCAAAAUCAUGAUCAUGGAGAGUAUUCAGAUCAGAUUAGUAGGAAGAUUUAUUUAUCACAUAGACCAGACAUUGCAUAUGCAGUAAGUGUUGUGAGUCAAUUUAUGUAUUAUUUUAGUGAACAUCACUUGAAUGAAGUCUAUUGGAUUCUCACAUAUCUAAGUCUGCACCAAGAAUAGGAAUUACGUUUACCAAAAAGAAUAGGAAUUACUAGAAAUAUGCCCACGAGUUGCUGUGGGACUUGAAUGCACCAGCCUUAACUACAUGAAUAAGACAUAUUUAACCUGGAAAAAAAAAUUCAAUAUAAUCAUGAACGAACAAAAGGGAUAGAUGAGUGAACGAUAUCGGUAAGAUAAACAGCUUAGCUUUUAUAUACAUUCAACCGAGGCUGAUUACAAAAGAUGUGGUUGCAAAAAAAUGCUCUGUUUCCCUGAGAAAAAGAAGCAACAACCCUGUAUGCUUGACCAAUGGUUCCAUACUCGUUUUCAAUCUGGUAUAAUUGAAACAACAAUUAACCCAUAGAAAGGUUCUGUUAAGUGCUUCUGGAAAAAAGGGUUUGUUGGAUUGCUUUUCAGCUUGCUUGCUUUGUGGUGAUAUAGUGCUUGGGAUUUCAUGCUUGGUCCAAGAGAAUGGAGAAUACUGUAGAUAAACAACAGUUGAAAAUUAGUCGGUUCACUGCCUCAAUUUAAUGAAAAUUCUUUGUUACAAUUGAUCACACCAAGAAAAAAAUAAAGGAAGACUUCUAAUCCCAUAAAUUACCAAAAAUUCUACUAUCCUAUACUUUUGUCCUUUGUCUCCCAUUGACUAAAAACACUCCCAAAUCACACCAGCCAGCCAUACAAAGCCAUUGGUCACAUCAUAUAUUAGGUAACCAAAUUCAAAUAACAAAGUUUAGAUAAUGAAAUGCAAAGAACAUGAUACAUAUAGAAAAAUUCAAGAACAUGAUUAAGAGGAUUUGAACAUAUCAAGUAAAAUCAGAUUCAGUUGAAUCCUUUCUAUAGCAUGCUAAAUAAAGACGGAAAAUGAUACGACAGUAUAAACGUUUGAGAAUGGACAUAAAAGAAUUUAUGUUUUGAAAAGAACUUCAAAGAGGAAGAGAAAAGUUUAAUUCACUCACAACAUCCUCCAUUGUGGUACGCCAUUCUUGCAUGGACGAUAAACCAUAUCUAACAUAGCCAUUUUCCCAAUCUUUGGAGAACUUUUCAGUUUCAGGAGUGCUCAGAUUGUACUAGGCCUGACAAUUCUUGACACGACCCGAUAACCCGACACGACACGACACGAAAUUAACAGGUGUUUGGGUCGACACGAUAACGAAUCGGGUGUUAUCAGGUAACCCGAUAAGCACCUGUUAAGAUAACGGGUUGGUUCGGGUAUACACGUGGGUAACACGAUACACGAUAAGCAGAAUAUUAAUUUAAUAAUUUUAUAACCCUAAAAAAUACUAUAAUAAUUAUAUAUAUAUAUAUAUAUAUUAAAUUAACUAUAAUAAUUAUAUAUACUAUAAUAAUUAUACCCCCAAAAUAUUAACUAUAAUAAUUAUAUAUAUAUAUAUAUAUUAAGUUUUAAAUUAAAUUUUAUACCCCUAAAAACUAUAAUAAUUAUACGUACAAAAUAAAUAGAUUUAAAUCUACAUAAUAAAUAUAUAUAUAUAUACACACACACACCAUUGAACUUGAUGGGAUACACGAAACUAAUUUCAAUGAUCCAACCGUUAAACUCGUUUGUAUAUGCUUCGAGAUCGCAUACACCAAAAAUCGCAAAAAACAAACAUUCAGAGAUCAAGUAACGGGACAAAACUUUUCGACGGUUUUAAAGCAAAAAAUCACGAUUUAACGGUUAUUUUAACUCCGAUUUUGAUGAUUUUUUACAACUACACUCAUUGACCUUAUAUGAAUACAAUGAAUGAAUUCGAUUUUCAAUUUAAAAUAUUUACACUAGUGGAUACCACAAAAUCUUAUGUUAUACUUAAUGAAAAUAUAAAUAAACUCUAAGUGUUAGUGAAUCUAUCGUUUUGAUGGGAUACAAAUUAUAUGAAACUAAUUUUAACGAUCCAACUGUCAAACUUGUUUGUAUAUGCUUCGAGAUGGCAUACGCCAAAAAUCACAAAAAACAAUCAUUCAGAGAUCAAGUAAUGAGACAAAACUUUUCGACGGUUACAAAACAAAAAAUCACAAUUUAACGGUUAUUUUAACUCCGAUUUUGAUGAUUUUUUACAACUAAACUCCUUUACCCUAUACUAAUACAAUGAAUGAAUUUGAUCGUCAAUUUAAAAUAUUUACAUAAGUCGAUACCACACAAUCUUAUGCUUUACUUAAUGAAAUUAUAAAUAAACUCUAAGUGUUAGUGAAUCUAUCGUUUUGAUGGCAUACGAAUUCUGUGAAACUAAUUUUAACGAUCCAACUGUCAAACUUGUUUGUAUAUGCUUCGAGAUCCCAUACGCCAAAAAUCACAAAAAACAAAAAUUCAGAGUUCAAGUAAUGAGACAAAACUUUUCGACGAAUAUAAAACAAAAAAUCACGAUUUAACGGUUAUUUUAACUCCAAUUUUGAUGAUUUUUUACAGCUACACUCGUUGACCCUAUAUGAAUACAAUGAAUGAAUUCGAUUUUCAAUUUAAAAUAUUUACACUAGUGGAUACGACAAAAUCUUAUGUUAUACUUAAUGAAGUAUAAAUAAACUCUAAGUGUUAGUGAAUCUAUCGUUUUAAUGGGAAACGAAUUCUAUGAAACUAAUUUCAACGAUCCAACCGUCAAACUUGUUUGUAUAUACUUCGAGAUCGUAUAGGCCAAAAAUCACAAAAAACAAACAUUGAGAGAUCAAGUAAUGAGAUAAAACGUUUCGACGGUUAUAAAACAAAAAAUCACGAUUUAACGGUUAUUUUAACUCCAAUUUUGAUGAUUUUUUACAACUACACUCCUUGACCCUAUAUGAAUACAAUGAAUGAAUUUGAUUUUCAAUUUAAAAUAUUUACACAAGUGGAUACCACAAAAUAUUAUGUUAUACUUAAUGAAUGUAUAAAUAAACUCUAAGUGUUAGUGAAUCUAUCGUUUUGAUGGGAUAUGAAUUCUAUGAAACUAAUUUCAACGAUCUAACCGUCAAACUUAUUUGUAUAUGCUUCGAGAUCGCAUACGCCAAAAAUCACAAAAAACAAACAUUCAGAUAUCAAGUAAUGAGACAAAACUUUUCGACGGUUAUAAAACAAAACAUCAUGAUUUAACAGUUAUUUUAACCCCGAUUUUGAUGAUUUUUUACAACUACACUCCUUGACCCUAUAUGAAUACAAUGAAUGAAUUCGAUUUCCAAUUUAAAAUAUAUUACACUAGUGGAUGCCACAAAAUCUUAUGUUAUACUUAAUGAAAGUAUAAAUAAACUCUAAGUGUUAGUGAAUCUAUUGUUUUGAUGGGAUACGAAUUCUAUGAAACUAAUUUCAACGAUCCAACCAUCAAACUUGUUUGUAUAUGCUUCGAGAUCGUAUACGCCAAAAAUCACAAAAAAAAAACAUUCAGAGAUCAAGUAAUGAGACAAAACUUUUCGACGGUUAUAAAACAAAAAAUCACAAUUUAACGGUUAUUUUAACUCCGAUUUUGAUAAUUUUUUACAACUAAACUCCUUUACCCUAUACUAAUACAAUGAAUGAAUUUGAUCGUCAAUUUAAAAUAUUUACAUAAGUCGAUACCACACAAUCCUAUGUUUUACUUAAUGAAAGUAUAAAUAAAUUCUAAGUGUUUGUGAAUCUAUCGUUUUGAUGGCAUACAAAUUCUAUGAAACUAAUUUUAACGAUCAAACCGUCAAACUUGUUUGUAUAUGCUUCGAGAUCGCAUACGCCAAAAAUCACAAAAAACAAACAUUCAGAUAUCAAGUAAUGAGACAAAACUUUUCGACGGUUAUAAAACAAAAAAUCACAAUUUAACGGUUAUUUUAACUCUGAUUUUGAUGAUUUUUUACAACUACACUCCUUGACCCUAUAUGAAUACAGUGAAUGAAUUCGAUUUCCAAUUUAAAAUAUUUACACUAGUGGAUGCCACAAAAUCUUAUGUUAUACUUAAUGAAAGUGAAUAUAUUGUUUUGAUGGGAUGCGAAUUCUAUGAAACUAAUUUCAACGAUCCAACUGUCAAACUUGUUUGUAUAUGCUUCCAGAUCGCAUACGCCAAAAAUCACAAAAAACAAAUAUUCAGAGAUCAAGUAAUGAGACAAAACUUUUCGACGGUUAUAAAACAAAAAAUCACAAUUUAACGGUUAUUUUAACUCCGAUUUUGAUGAUUUUUUACAACUACACUCCUUGACCCUAUACAAAUACAAUGAAUGAAUUUGAUCGUCAAUUUAUAAUAUUUAUACAAGUGGAUACCACAAAAUCUUAUGUUAUACUUAAUGAAAGUAUAAAUAAACUCAAGUGUUAGUUAAUCUAUCGUUUUGAUGGGAUACGAAUUCUAUGAAACUAAUUUUAACGAUCCAACCGUCAAACUUGUUUGUAUAUGCUUUGAGAUCGCAUACGCCAAAAAUCACAAAAAACAAACAUUCAGAGAUCAAGUAUUAGACAAAACUUUUCGACGGUUAUAAAACAAAAAAUCACGAUUUAAUGGUUAUUUUAACUCCGAUUUUGAUGAUUUUUUACAACUACACUCCUUGACCCUAUACGAAUACAAUGAAUGAAUUUGAUCGUCAAUUUAAAAUAUUUACACAAAUGGAUACCACAAAAUCUUAUGUUAUACUUAAUAAAAAUAUAAAUAAACUCUAAGUGUUAGUGAAUCUAUCGUUUUGAUGGCAUACGAAUUCUAUGAAACUAAUUUUAACGAUCCAACCGUCAAACUUGUUUGUAUAUGCUUCGAAAUCACAUAUGGCAAAAAUCACUAACUUGUUUGUAUAUGCUUCGAGAUCACAACCGUCAAACUUGGUUUUUUAUUAGGCUUUUAUUUUCGAGUGUAGAUGUAGUACUUAAAUGACAAAUAUGUUUUAAUGUUUUGAAGUAAUAUUUAUGUGGUAAUGUGUGGUAUGUGGAAAUUUAAGAAAAUUUAUAUUUUUCUUAACGGGUCAUAACGGGUUAUAACGGCUCGGGUCACUUUACCCAACACCUGUUAAGGACCCGUUAAGAUAACAGGUGUGACACGACACGACCCGUUAAGAUAACAGGUGUUACACGAAAACAACACGAACACGACAGACACGACCCGUUUGCCAGGCCUAAAUUGUACCCAUUCCAAUAUGAAAUUAAAUAAGAACUCAAUCAAAAACUUUAAUCCUACAAUUCAAUGCUGAAAAACUAAAGUAGCCAGAAACCAAAAGAUCUGAGUGACAACUUGUACGGACGUUACAAAAAUGCAGGACACGAAACACAUUAAAACUUCUAGAAACUCUAAGUUAUCACUAUUUGGUUAUGAAGAUAGAUGUAUAUCACCAGGAAACCAAAAAAAUGGCAAGGAUUUGCCAAAAUUUGUGAAUCAAACACAUGCGUCAACUUCUUUUCCUUUGUUAGUCUGUUAUCAUCUCACAUGCCACACUAUUCAAGACUGGAUCAAUUCGAUCACAGCCAAACCGUCGGUAUUAAACUUAACUAAGUACCGAUCAAAUGAUCUAAACAUUGUGUAUUACAGAUCCAAAUCAAUAGUGGUAAUAAAUAAGAUAAUUUCAGUUGCCAUUUGCAAUUAAAAUUGAACAAUGCUUACUCCCAAGGAAUAUCUGACAUUGAUUGCAGCAAUCAAAUGUGCGUUUAAUUGAUUUAGCUAUGUAUUUGAGGAUUUGGGAAAGGUUUUUUGAGAGUAAACGGACGUUAAUUAUUAGCCAUGUAUUUGCUUAAUAAACGGGAGCUGAAAUUGCUAUGUAUUUUUGAAUGGGGAAUUUAAAAACCAAUCCCAAUUUGUCAUUGCUCAAACAAAUUGGAAUUUCAGAACCAAUCUCAAUGAUCAAAUUAACGAAAUAUUCAAUUUUAUGAAAACUCUUAAGCUAAUUUAGAAAGGCAAAUUGCAAUAUUUUGAAGGAAUUUGAAAAAUGAGGGAGAAAAAACCAAAUUAGAAGGUCGUGCCUUAUCUCCCUCACAAAAUCAAUCGCACAAAAACCAUAGCUUUUGAUGGAAUUUCAAAACCAAACAAAUCUCUAAGAUGAAUUUUUCAAGUAAACAUGUUUAACACAAAUUUCUCAAUUAUUAACACUACUCUUUCUCAAUUAUUAAAAACAUAAAGAUCAAAGUCAAUUGGGUGUAUAAUUAUAUACCUAAUCGUGUCAAGCAAGCAAGCAACUUUUGCCUCCAACGACCCAAAAUUCUGAAAAUUCUAAAAAAUUUAAUUUAAAAAAAAAAAAAACAACAUAAGAAAGAUAAAACUCGACAUAAAGAGAAAUCUACAAACCGGAUGCCAGAUCAUCAAAGAUUAAAAACCACUCAGAAUCUAUUAGCAUUUGAGUCUAAAUAUGAGAAAUUGUGAACUUUGUUCCAUAGGAUAGUUAAGAAGAUACUAUCAUAUCGAAACCAACGCUGAAUAAAAUCCAGCAAUGAGAUUGUGAUGAUAUAACGUCAUUUCUUUAAAGCUGCAUAUACGAACCUAAAAAGGAAAAUAUGGCCAAGGAUAGACUGUCUCCAUUGGCCCUUCAAGUCUCCUAACCACCAAAACCACCCGUCUAGAUGCAUUUGCCUGUUCUUUCCCACAAUUCUUAGAGAUCAAAUAAAACCCUCAGAUUGACUGGGGACAAUAUCAAAAUCCUUUUUGAAACCGUAAUAUAGGAAGACAUGAAUAAUUUCGACAGAAAGACACACAAAUUGUUGAGGGAGGAUGUGAAGCUUCUGUACGGAAGGUUUCUACUCUUGUACAUGUAAAAAUAUAAAAUGAAGCAAGAGAAAUUCAACAAAAAAACUUGAAAACCCUUGCCCAAAAAAACUCACUAAAUUCAAAGCAUAACAUCUACAUAGAGUCACUAACAUACAUUGCUUAGUUAGGACUCUGUUAUACUCAUCAUCCUUGAUCAAUGUAAUCAUACAUUUGAUAGCUGCACUCCCCAUUGACAUACACUGACAUAGCAUCUACUUUUUUGCUGACUUUAUUUGCUUAGUCAAGCAAUAACCAACAUACACAAUAUGACAAUCAUAGCAGCUACACCAACCAUCCAUAAAUGGCAGAAAUACAAAUACAAUUCCAAUGGGGUUUGGAACAAAUGAACCAAUCAUCCAAUUCGAAUGUCAUUUGGAACAAAUACACCAACCAUUCAAUUGGAAUGGGGUUUGGUACAAAUACAUGCUUAGUUAUCUCAAGCUUUACAUAAAUGGACAGAUACAGACAUGCGCACAAAAUAGAAAGAAGCCCAGUUCCAUUCUAAGCUCAAACGAACAAAAUUGAAUUAUAUAUUUAAAAUCCAAGCAUGAAAGCUUCACAAAGAUAAAUUAAAAACAUGUAAAUAACUAAUUAGGCUUUGAAUAAAAAUGAGGGUGUAUAAUUAUAUACCUCAAAAUGGCAGGGAACCAACUUCUUGCUCCAACGAUCCAAAUUUUUGAAAUUUGCAAACAAAGUAAAUCCAUUAGCAACUCAGAGACUUUAAAAUUUGAAAGACCAAAUCUAAUGAAAUUUUAGUUAAAUGACCAAAGCCACACCAAAAGAAAAGAAGAGAUUUUAGAAAUAUUUUGAAUCCAACACAACUAAUUUGGUCUAACGAAGAAUAUGAAAGCUUAAGCCUAGGUGAAAUGUUCAAUAAACUGCAAGAGGCCUCGGCCAAGGCCAUAAUUGAACAAUCAUGUCACAAUUACUUCAAUGCAUUUGGAUAUAAAGGAAAAUUAAAUUUGUUCAAUUUCAAUAUAAAGAACUUAAUGCAGGAACAACUUUUGUGCUUCAAUGGCGUGAGAAGUAAAUAACCAAGUUUAUAUAUUGCAGUUCGGAUAACAGAAUUAUAGGUUCAUAACAGUCCAAAUAACUUCACCUAACCAACAUGAAAUGACAAGAAAAAUGAGUCGAUUACAUAAGUUUUAAAUAAUCUCGUGCCAAACAGCUUAUGCUAGUAUGGCCUCUUAUGUUUAAGGAGCAAUUGAAAGAAAAUAGUUCAUGAACAUCGCGUUUCUGUUGGUAGCGCAGUGCAUCGAACGGAUUUGAUUUCACAGCAGUAACAACCAAAAAAUCAAAUAAUGUAAUGGAAGAAAAGCAAAGAUUAAUAACCAUCAAUGUUUUAAAAGGCUCGCGUCAAGGGGCGCCUAGGUGCGCCUUGUGAGGCUGGGCUUGAGGGUUGCCGCCUCUGUUUUGAGGGAGUGGGCGGAAGGCGCCACCGGAGCUGCCUAGGCGCGCCUCAGGGGAAUUUUUUUUAAAUUUAAAAUUUUUUUUUAAAAUUUUUUUACUCCCAAACCCAAAUUUUAGGUAGGGUUUUAAUUGCCUCAUACCUCUUCCUUGCACUAUUGUCUCUCUGUCUUUUUUUUUCUUUUUCUGAUUUUAUUUUUUUAUAUAAUGGAUGUGUGUGUUGUCUGCGUGCAUUGUUAUAUGUGCUCAUUGUGCUUUUCAUCCUCUAUUAUAUAUAUAUAUAAUAUGUAUAUAUAUGUGUAUUUAUAAUAUAUGUGUGUGCUUAGGGUGAUUAUUGAUUAAUAAUCUUUUUUUUAAUAUAAUAUAUGUGUACGCUUAGUGUAUAUAUUAAAAAAUUUAGGUCCCGUGAGGUGAAGGCUGGGCUAUCCCUCGAACGCCUUGCCUACGCCUCACGCUUACAUUGAUAACCAUACACCUAUCCAUUUUCUCUUGUAAACAAAAUUUUUCAUUUGCACCUAAUUUAAAGUCAUGCUUGUUUAGAGAUAUAAUCAUAGCAAAUAGAAAGACUCAAUCCAUUGCUAAAAUCAGCAACCAUAAUUUCCUACUAAAAAGAACUUAGCACAAUAGAUUUCUUAGGAAUUAGGAUGCCUAAGACAGUGAUUGAAUCUCUUGGAAAUCAAAUCAAUGCUAAAAAGUUUUAAGCAAUCGACAUAUCAGAUUCAGUUCGAGUUCACCAGCCGCAAUCAAAUAUACACUCGAUACAAUUUAUUAGGACAAUAUAAACUUAUAUUUUGACCAAGAAAAAAAAGAUAGUUCAUCAUUAUAUUUCACUAUUCGACUCACAAAAUCGAAUGGAAUAACAAUUCUUGGAACAGGGGAUCCUUCAAUGUUACGAAACACCCACAACAAUCUUAAAACUACAAAUGUGAGCACCGAAAUCUGUAAAAAGGAAUCAUAUCUGAUGUAGCAUUUGCAUAUCUGCCUUCUCUCAUCUCCUCCACACAUAAACUAAACAAUUUUUGUGCACUACAAAUUCGAGAAAGAAUCAAGUUGGCCUCUGCUGUGCAAAUGAUUUGUUCCACAUCUUUUCUCCAGUUCCCAAAACUAUAGAUACGAUCGUAAUAAAACAUAAAUGGUCCUCACACAGUGCACCCCACCCCCCACCCCCCCUAGCAAUCUAACAAAGAGAGAUUUGUCAAAAGAGAAAAAAAAAAGAGCUUUAAAUGCGAGUUGCUUGAUGUGGUUUUCAUUUUCUCCUCUUCUAUUACAGACUAAGCAUACACCGAUCCAUCCAUAUGUAUAAAUCUAUACACACACACACAUAUAUUCACACACACAUCUAUAUACACACACAUAUAUUUAUAUAAAUAAUAAAAAUAAAAACCUCAUUAACAAAAAUCAAUCACUUAUUGGUCUUAUCUCAUAAAGUCAAUCAAACAAUAAAAAAAUAUAAUCACCCCACAUAUAAAGAUCGGAUCUUUACAUAUACAAAUCCAUCAAACUACAUCACAAAACUAACAAAUACAACAAUCAAUACCUCUACGCAAUCACAAACCCACACACCACAAAUCAUUUUUCACAAAACCAAAACCAGACAACAAUCAAACUUACAAAUUUCAUUGGCGAAUAUAUACUGGAUUCUGAAAGCGAUGAGAGAAAUAUACCUUUGGGGUGUCGAUGUCAGAAGGGUGAGUGAGGCCGAGAUUGGCCCGAGCGACAGUGCGAGCCAUGAGCUUCCCUCUGCGAGAGCACAGGAGUGUAACUGCAAAAGAAAAUUGGAGACUGAGGGCAGACCGUAAUUUCGUCAAAAAGGAGAGAGUACAAAGGAGAAGUGACAGCAAUAAGCAUGUAGACGCCAAGGACAAAGUAAAUAUGUAUUUGUGAAUGGGGUUAAGCUGCUGCUAGCUUUGUAUAGUGUAAUAAUGCAACCGCAAAUAGACCAAGCUUCUGCUAUUAAAAGCUUUUACAAAAUCAUAAAACUCUUAACAGUUUGAACCCUAUCAGAAAGUUUAUAUGAGUUAAAGAAUGGUCAUACUUAAGUGCAGCAAGAUCAUAAGCUCUUGUAGCUUCUCCUUCAUAUCAGAACCACCUGCAGUCCAAAUUAAACCAAGAUUCAAUGCCAAAUCAAGAACAAAUUAGUGAUAAUUUAAACUAAAGUCCCUAAUAUUGUUGCAGAGAGAGAAUUCAUAUCAAGAUUAACUACAUUAUUUGAUUCGAAUGAAAUCCAAAAGCAGUAUAAACAUGAAAGGUAAAAAAUUAAUAACAAAAGUCACAUUUCAGCAGCAGUUAAUAGCAUAAAUCAGAUUUUAGCGGCAGGGACCAAAAUAAUUCAGUAAAAGAGAAACAAUCCCAAAUAAAUACAAAGAACUGGAGAAACAAUUCCAAACAAAUCUUUGGAAAGCAACUGCAUCCCUCCCUCACCCCCCCUCUCUAAUUCCAACUUCUCCCUUCAUCUAUCUUUCUCUCUCUCUCUCUCUCUCUAUAAUAGACGUGCAGUUUUAUUAAUCUUUGUUACCAAAGCAUGCAAGAUAUUGAAAAGGAUGUUUAUCUAAGAAAAAAAGGGCACAUUGUCCAUCAUAGAAAGCAAGCGUGGAAGAAGAAGAAAAUUAAUCAUAUUCCAGAAACCAAAUCUUCACAGUAUCUUAGAAACAGUCACAGCAGCCGACCCCAUAAAAAGUUGCUCUUCUGAAAUUUACAAUCAAAGAAACAAACUGUCAUGAGUUGUACCGUAACAAAGCAGGAGCAUAAAAGGAAAAAAUUGAGUUUAAUAAACCCUAGUGCAGUUGUAUCGUCAACUCGAUUGAUUUUUGAUCGAUUUCUUGCCUUCUUCUCUCUGAUUCUUUGAUCUUUGUCUUCGAUCUUUCUUGAAUCUUGAUCGCUGCAAGAAAUGGCUGCUCAAUCUGCAUCGCCACCGACUGGGUCGUCUUCUCUGAUCAUCUCUCAUUCGGUCCAAAACCCUAAUUCCUCUUCUAAUCCCAGUCCUCUGAAUUUGUAUACCUCUCUUACGAUUCACAAAAUCGGUAGUAUGGUGCCGAUCAAGCUGAAAAGGUCCAAUUAUCUGCCAUGGUGCGCUCUGUUUGCUCCCAUUUUCCGACGAUAGAAACUCCUUGGGAUUAUUGAUGGCACUGAGAUCUGUCCUUCGCCAUACUUGCCCGAUCGAACGCUGAACCCUGCCUUAAAGGAUUGGUAUGAAAAAGAUCAAAAUCUCUUGAUCUGGAUUAAUUCUACUUUAUCCGAAGAGAUCAUUCCUUUCACAGUUGGGGUUUCCUCUUCUUGUGAGCUCUGGUUGAAAUUAGAAACAACAUUUUGGUGGAAUUUCGGAGGCUCAUGUUCACCAAUUGCAAUCGAGGCUUCAAUCAAUUCAGAAAGGUUCUCAGUCCAUCUCUGAAUAUCUUCAACAAAUCAAGGAAAUUGCUGAUUCCUUGCAAGCUGAUGGUGCUUCAGUCUCCGAUUGUGACCUAAUUGCUGCCACCCUACAUAGAUUGCCUGAUGAAUUCGAAUCCUUUAUUGAUUCCAUCAUGCUCCGAUUAUCUUCUACCUCUCUUGAUGAACUACAUGGCCUCUUACUCACCAAAGAGUUGUCUAUGGCUCGUCGUAAGACUGUUUCUUCAUCCUCUGCAACUGAGCCAUUUCAAGCUUUCUCCGUGCAAUCUCAGCCUCCUCUGCUGCCUACUCCAUCUGCUUUUGCUGCUCAGAACCAACCUCUUCAAUCUGCUUCUUGGUUUAACUCAAGUCGGAGUAAGCCAUCUCGAGGUAAUUUCUCCUCCAAUCGCAGUAAUCGCAGCUUCUAUAAUAAUCGUGGUAAUUUCUUCAACAAUCGUGGAAAUCAGACUUAUCAAGGCUCUCGCAAUUAUCAAAGUUCUUCUACUUUCAAAGUUCCUUGUCAAAUCUGUGGUUCCACCAGUCAUGAGGCCAUUGACUGCUUUGAUCGUAGGAAUCCGGACAUUUGUGGUCGCAUUCCUUUGGCUAAACUUGCUGCUAUGUGUGUGCAUCAUUCCGCCAAAUCCUCAGCCAUGGUUAAUUGAUUUUGGCGCAACCUCUCACAUCACUAAUGAUGUAGCCAAUAUCUCGUCUCCUACUCCCUACACUGGAGAGGACAAAGUGUAUAUUGGAGAUGGUAAAGGCUUAUCUAUUCAUAAUACUGGUUCAUCAUCUCUGCAAACUUCUCAUACCUCUUUUAAGCUGAGCAAUGUUUUACAUGUUCCCUUCAUGAAACAUAAUCUCUUAUUUGCUUAUCAAUUUCUUAAGGAUAACAACUGUUCGUUGACUCUUGACCCCUAUGGAUCCAUUGUCAAGGAUUGCAUUUCGGGGAAGACGCUUUUGCAAGGACCUGUUAAAGAUGGUUUCUAUCCUUUACAAGGUUCUAUCAACUCUUCUCCUUCUCUACCUUCAGCUUUUCUCAACAUCAAAGCACCUGUCACAGUAUGGCACAAGCGCUUAGGACAUCAUUCUUCCUCAAUUUUUUGAAGGAUCUUAUUUACCAAUAAUCUUGCUUUGCAAGGCAAGCAAAUGUUGACUUUUUCUGCUCAAAUUGUGCACUUGCUAAGAACCACAAGCUUCCUUUUGGAGUAGCUUCUUCAUCAACAACUCAAAGUCUUCAACUUCUACAUUGUGAUCUAUAGGGACCUGCCUCUGUCACAUCUAAUAGUGGUUUCAAAUAUUACUUACUACUUGUUGAUGACUUUAGCAAAUAUAGUUGGUUUUUCCCAUUGAAGUCCAAGUUUGAUGUAUUUUCUACCUUUGUUACUUUAAAAAACUAUGUAGAAAACUUCAAUGGCAAUAAAAUCAAGAUUCUGCGUUCCAAUUCAGGGGGUGAAUUCACUAAUAACUCUCUUGCUUCAUUUCUUCAUGAACAUGGUAUAUUACAUCAAUUUAGUUGACCUCAUACUCCUGAACAAAAUGGCUGUGCAGAGAGGAAACAUAGACAUCUUGUUGAGACAGCUAGAACAUUACUUUUUGCUUCUCAUGUUCCUCAUAUUUUUUGGGUUAAAGCAUUCUCCACUGCUCUAUAUCUCAUUAAUAGACUUCCUAUUUCUAGAUUAACAAAGUCACCAUGGGAACUUCUCUUCAACCAUCAUCCAGAUUACUCAAAACUGAAAGUCUUUGAAUGUCAAUGUUAUCCGUGGCUUAAACUGUACAUUCCUAGUAAAUUGGAUGCUAAGAGUAAAAGUUGUGUGUUUUUGGGAUGUAGUCUUCAACAUAAAGGCUAUAGGUGCCUUGAUCCCAUUACAAAUCGAAUCUACAUAUCAAGACAUGUUGUUUUUGAUGAACACUCUUAUCCAUUUCAAUCACUGCAGAUUUCAAGUUCAUUUUCAGGCAGUUCAUCUUCCACCUCUUCAUCAUUUUUGGAUCUUCAUUUCCACAAACACUUCUCAAGUUCUCAUCCUGCAAGUACUUCUUCAGCACCACCAUGUUCCUUUGCUCCUACUUCUAUUACAACUCAGCAUUCUUCAAGUCAUCUGACAAUGGAUACUUCUCCAAGUUCUUCCAGUUCUGUCUCUAUAUCAGACUUCUCUCUCUUGCCUCUUCAGCCAAGUCAUCUACAUAUUUCUACGAGUAGACAUCCUAUGAUUACAAGAUCUAAAGCUGGAAUCUUCAAGACUCGAGCUUAUGCAGCCACCAAACAUUCAC